AGACAACCAUAACGCCUUUUCUUUCUCUCCUCCCGUCAGAGCGCACACCGCGACGACCCCUCCCGGGACCAGGAGUGCACCCCCCCGGGCCAUCUCGAUGGAGAAACGAGAGUGCUUUGCACGCCGGAACGCCGUCAGAGUACACGCGCCGAGGCCAGGGAAGAGAGCCUCAUCAAUGGUGGUGCUGUGAGAACGGCCACCAUCUCCUCUUCUUCGCCGUGUGCAACCUCGGAGCGUCUGUUACCAAAACCAUAGGAAAGAGAGGGUUUCAGCGAUUAAUAUUUAUUAUCAGGCAGAGAUCGCGGUGUCAGUGUGGAAUGUUGGUUGCAUACGUUUGCGACGGGGACUGGACACGCAUUGCAUGUAUGCCAAUGGCAGGCAGGCAUGCUACUCACCGUUCUGUGGAAAUAUCGAGUUGUAGUGAACCUCCGCCCAAAAGCUCAAUAGCACCACUGAGAUCAAUCGGAAGGAAAACAGUCAGUCAAGCGUAUAGUUAAGUAUCAAGACCAUCCACUUGGAACUGUAAAGAAAAUUAAUCAUCUGCAUACCUUUGUUGGACUUCUGAACCUUGGGUUGGAUCUCGAUGUAGCACGUAUCCUUGAACGAGGUCAUGACGAAAAUCUUCACUCCGUACUGCAGCAGAUUUGUCAAAUUGCGUUAGAAUGAGAUUUAGUAAAGUACAGCCCCGGCCAGCUGUGAUAUAUGUUUAUGCCCAUGAGUGAGACAAAUAUAAGCACCUUGUCAGCAGCAGCCUGUAAAGUCACAUGGUCACCCCAUUCACCAUUUCUGUCAGUUUAUGCACCAAGAUAUUAGUUGGGGCAGCAUUCACAUGUGACUAAUUUGUACUAGCCAUGAACAGUUUUUGACUGUUGAGCUUACCGUGAGACUUUGUCCAAAUACUCAUCAUAUGCCAUGGGGACAUAUCCAUCAUAGGCUUCCCGGUUACUUUUAAGCUGGAAACCGAUUAUUUAUCAGACGAAAGAUGAAAGUGUGAAAACAAAGAACAAAGCUAAGGAUCACGAUUCGCGAAAGAAAGAUUACUAGUGUUGAUUACCUGGCUAAUUAUCUGCUCCCUCACAAACUCAUGGUGGUCCGGAGUUUGGUACAGCUGAUCUGAUAGUGCACGGAACUGUGGAAUUGAGAACGUUAGAUUAGCAUCAAUUGGUUGUGGCUUAUGUACUACAUGGUCUAACAGUAAGUCAUGAAUGAUGGAAUAACUCAGAGAACUGACCCAACUACUGCUGCCACAAUGCAUAUUUGAACAAAAUAAAACUAAGUAUUCAGGUGAGGAUGGCACUAGGUACAAACCUGACAAUUGCCAUCACCCUUCACCUUGUUCUCAGUUAGUUCAUACAGCCUCAACCUACAAAAAUAUACGUGUAAAAAAUACUGAACUAGACCUGGACACUUUAUUUUAGAAAGUUGAGAAGAAACACUAUCAAACUUAUUCUAGUACAUCUGAUCCCUCAUAAAAUUCAAUGUUUCCACGGCAUUUACUAACAAAAGGAACCCAUGAGAAUUGAGAUUUAAGACAGACCUGUCGGACAGCCUUUCAUGGUCCAUGGUGGCUUCGUCAAGUGAUGGAAUUUCACCAUUAAUUUUAGGGACAUGCUGGAGAAGGCAAAACAGAUUGUUUAAUCAUAGUUUGUAAGUGUAAUGGAACUGAAGAUAAUAGCAGAUGCAUAAACGUAUUGGAAAAGAAAAUAAUGCUGAUCAAUCGUGCAAAUAGCAGUUUUAACUUGCAGCCUUUUUCUCAUACUGAAUGUACGAGUAAUAAUUUAUUCCCACAAAACUAUAAGGAAGGCAGUAAUCACAGAUUUGUAUGCAAAACUCUAUAAACUGAACCUGGUAGCCAAGCCACAGUUUUCAUCUGGACAUUGCCAAAAAUUAAACAUGCCAUGGCUUAACACAGAGUUAAGAAUAUCUGAAUUUAAUUCAACUUAAUGUAUUUACAGACUUUUCGAAGAAUUUCGUAUCAUGUUGUCUAUUAAAGCAUGUGGUAUUCACAAUCAGUUUUCCAUUGAGAUUUUAGCUACAUGUGCACAGGUAUUCUGUCAAUUAUCUUACCUACUUUGGCCAUUGCUUAGUAGUUACUUUAGUCAGUGAGCAAACAUGGGACUUAUCAAGCUUCCUUGGAAGCAAAACUUCAUUCACUCUAGAUACUAAGGAGGCAAAUCAAUCUUUGCUAAACAACACAGUUACUGAGGAUUAAUAGACUCACAGGAACUGGGACCAUGGGGUAAAAUCUCUUCUCUACUUCUUCCUCCAUUUCAAAACAGUCGUCGCUGCCAGGGUAUGAAGAGGAACUAGAUGGAUCUACAUAGACUGCCUCAUGCUCCUGCCCACCAACAUUUCCUGGAACAUACAAAAAACAUUAAGAGGGAUAGCAAAAAUACGAAAGGUAAAGGCUGAAUCAGACUAUGGAUAUUUUCACUACCAGGAUGGUACAUGCCUACUUGUGGGUUGUACAUAUCACACGUAAGUGCGGAAGAAUGCAAAUAUGUCUCAUCUGGAUGUGAUGCAUCUGCAGAAGCAAAAAACAUACACAUGAGGAAUACUGCCUUCUUUUCAUCAUGAGUUUUGCACAAAAGAAUUGCACGACCUUCCACAAAACUACCUCUAGCAUAAUUGUAGUCACAAUAGCUGUUGUCACUGUAACCAUUAGGAUGUCCAUAGUAGCUGUUGGGAGCGGCAAAAGGGUCACGGAAAAGGUCGUAGGCCCAGUGGAAAUUUUGAUCUUUCUCGCACAUGUUCAUCCGUUGGGCUCAAAUUCUCUGUCAAAAGCACUGCCCCUACCAAGUAGAUUCAGUGAUUUUAGCAUAAGGGCAUGAACACCAAAAGAAGAACGGAAAAUGCGUGAUAUACGGCUAAUCUUGCGCGGUCGCAACAAAGUCAAGGACCGGUGACAGACUUGACAUAAAUGAGUGAUUUGAGUCAUCACGUUAGGAGCACUCUCCCUAUUACUAGUGAUGACAAGGACAGAUCGGAGAAAACUAACAGAUUAGUAGGCAAUCCUCCUCCAGGGACCACUACCACAUUAUAAGAUAUUAUUAAGAUAACUUCUCAUCAGUCUAAGCAACCAAAUCAACAACCUAAUAACAUGCAAGAUCAAAGCACUUUUUUGAUUUGUUGCACACUGAUUGAACAACCCAAUAUCAAUAUGAUUACUCCCAUGAUACGUUAGCAAAACAAAAAGGCUGCGACGGUCUCAUAAUCCAAUCAAACGCUUUUCAUAGCAGAUUGCGUCUUGACUGCCGAUGAUGCUCGAGAGGCCGUUCAGGGAGCGAACUAACUGCAGGUGCUAUCCACCUUAAUUUCUUUGAUUUGAUACGAACUGCUGACGUGCUCGGUAUCAAUUGUUAAAUUAGGGCCUCACCUACUGUUGUCCGCUAAAAAAAUGAUACACUACUUCAGAAGCUGGAUUAUUAACAAGAGAUAUCGAUAACUGUUUCUAGGUCUAGCUACCCUGUUUUCCUGCAGGGUUAGCGCGCGGCUGCCUCAAGAGGAGGAGAAAUGGUGGAAAAGUUGCGAGAUUAUUAUUCCUGCAGAGUCAGUGGCUGCCUCACGAGGAGGAGAAAUGGUGGAAAAGUUGCAGGACUAUAAUACUCCUACUGAUAGUACUAAUAAUCCAACAAGCAAAGGCUCGUCCAGUCAGAAAACGAGGGGACGGACGGGCAGCCUUGUCCCAAAAAGGCGGCAUCAACGAUCAUCAUGGAACCAGAUUGAAGCAACCUUAGCAGGCAAGGCUGCAGCUUUGUUCAUGGGGCAAAUCAUUUCUACAGAGAAGAAAAAGGCAUUCCUUUUCGUUGGCACAAGCCACCACAUACACACAACCAAUUUCUUCCAGGGAUGAACGCGGACAGACAAAAUAGAGCGUCGUCACCGGCUCAUAAAUUGGAGGUAACAAGAUCACGGCAGCCUCGAUAAUAAUCCAAAAGAAAAAAAAGCAGUGAGCAAGGCAAAGAUAAUCGGAACGGGGAGAUGAGGUCGGUCGGGAUCGCGGCCGAAUUCCCCCUCCCGAAACUGAUAGCCGGCCGCAUCGACGAGCAAGAAAGGAAAGGGAGGAACCCGUGAACAAAUCAGAGAAAGCGAGGCGCACUGACCUCCACCCCACGAUCAGCUCUUCGCGGGACGAAGCCGGAGGCGGGGGUGCCAAGGCCGGAUCUUCCGCCGCCCCGGGCGACAACUAGCGGGCGGCGGCGGCGGCUCCGGGGGGGUUGAGCGAGCAGGCGAAGGAGGCGGAGCGGCAGGGGGAGCGGCGGGUCAUCCGGGGGGCCGCCUUGGGGCCGUGGAGCAUGGGAGGUUCCUCGUCGGCCGGCGGAUUGGGGAUUGAGGAAGAAGCAGCCAGGAGGAGGAGCCUCUGUGUGAAUCGAGCGCGAGAGAGGCAGACGCAGAGAUUAUUUUUAUUUUUUAUUUUUCUUCUUCACUCUCUCUCUCUCCCUCUUUCGGCUGGCACGCGGCCGCUGCUGUUUAUAGUACUCGCUGUACUGUUGAUGCGGGGAUGGCGAAUUUUCACAAACCACCUCGAGGUUGUUUCUUUUUGCGGAUAGACGUCCCUGGCAGUGAGCCACACGAUCUUCUCUCUUCUCUCUUCUCGACCGUGGCGGCUCUUGGAGCGAACACUAGUUAAUGACCCUGUUCCUUGUCACAAGGGAGAAGGAACACAUGGCAUGGCAUGGUGGUGCCUUUUUGAAACUUAAAAAACCCGCCAAAUAAGACCAGGUAUGGACCGGAAUGGUGAGGGGAGGGUGGCUACAAAGGAUGUAGCUUUCUUUCUUGCAAGAUGGGCUUUGUGCACGGUUGAUGGCGACGCGACGUGCCGCGCCGGCUCUUUCGGUUUGUUUGUUACCCGUUUGUGUGUUGUGUCCUUCCGGUGGAGGCGUAGAAUGAGGACGCGAGAUGCUGACGCUGACGUGGUCGCCAUGGCCCAAACUCUCCGGUUUGCGUUUACAUGCCGAGCAUACGGAAGAAGGAUUGGCGACGUGAGCGCGUGGAAGAAGGAUGGCUUUUUUUUUCAUUGGAAAUAUGUGUGUGGUUUUAUUUUUUUCCGGGGAAGUGAGAUGUGGUGUUAACAGAUCGGUCCUUGGUAAAACAGAAUUGCUAAAAGGUUUUUGGUGACGGUUUGUAGUGGCGCGGGGAUGACAAACUUAGUUGACGAGCACGAUAGUUUUCUGACAAAAAAAAUUUAGCUAGGGCGAAUUUAACUUCUCACAAACUAAACUUGCUACCCUCGGCAAACGUAAUUUGGCAUUUUCUAUUUGUCAUGCCUAAAAAUCUGGCGUUCGCUGAAUACUCAUGUACUAGUAAAAAAGCAAGACAUUGGCUUUGCAUCGAAAGAUGUUAUAACAAGUUUCUAACUCAAAUAAGUCGUAUGGCUCCAUGGUUGGUGCAUUAGUAUUAGUUGGACAAACAUUGUCAAGAAUGUAUGUAUACUUUUGGUUCUCCGGUUCGUCUCGUCGCUUUUCAUCGUAGGGACAACAAGAUGCUUGAAGGGUACACUGUAUUUAUGACAAUGUUAAUGAUUGUACUAUUGCUUAUACAUGCAUGAUACAGAUCCAUGUACGCCACUGCCUUAACUAAAAGCCAUAUUUGUAUCUUUCUUUUAACGAUGAAGCACAUGAAAAUUACGUAGAAAGCAUAUGUAUGUGCGACAAUCUGGCCAUUCUUCCAAACCCAAAGUGAAAAUGGUAAUUAGAUCUCCGACAACAGAUAUAUGCCGCACACACCAAAAAGACGAUGACACCACACACGUCUAGGCUAGUGCCAACCGAAAAUGUCCAAAUUGUUAAAUUUUGUAGAUACGGUCAUUGGCUUUUUGUCCCGGCUUUGUAAGAGGCAAUUAGGAUCGUGUACCGUCCAUGCAUGGAUCAUGUUUCAUUUAAUCUUGUCAUAAGCGACCGAAAAUGUCCAAAAUGUUGAAUCUUGUCAUAAGCGAGGGCACCAACUUGGCAACUUUGGAACGUUUUUUUCUGUUAGACAUGAACUUUUUUUAAAGGAAUUUGGAGCCUUUUUAUUUGGCACGUUUUUUAAUUUUUAUUUGACAUGAACUUGAGCAUGUUGCUCGUCAAAGGAAUGCCUAUAUACUAGUACCCCACUAAUGCUUGCCAUGGACGGACCAAGUUUAACACGUGUACGCAUUAAGCUCUAGUGGUACCAACCAAACAACGUUCGAGUCGAGCCGCACCUAUCGGUCGUACACUGCUAUACCACUAACCAGUACGAGGUCCCAAACGCAAUUCCAGCAAACCACAGGGGUUUAACCGCAACAAGGACGGCGUCGACCAGUGGAAUCGCGUCAGCGGGCCGGGCCCCGCCAGGGGCCAGACGAGCCAGCGGGCGUUGACGUCACAGGCCCAUCUGAGCCGAGCCAGCGCGCGGACUCCGAGGGGAAUCUAGCCAUCCCAUCCCGGCGCUCCUGACGACGGGCCCCGCGGCCCGGAUGCGGCCAGCCCGGGGGCCUGGCCUGGCAUCGGGAAUGGCAUCUUUUCUCCCGACUCGUCCGUCGCCGUACGCCGCUGGCCGCAGCAGCUGGCUAAAAGCCAAACGGCCCCCAGGAAUUUCUCUCUUCUUGUAAUACUAUCUUUUUGUUACCUUGGACUGGGCUGGAGGUCGAUGUCGGGUUUUCAACUUUAAUAGGGGUGAAAAGAUGGUAAUCUUUUAAAGGUGGUCGAGAGUGACCCGCACCGUAUUAUAUAAUAAUAAUAAUAAUAAUAAUAAUAAUAAUAAUAAUAAUAANNNNNNNNNNCAUAAAACAAUGGGUUAUUCGUUGGUAUUUUACUUUCUUCGCUUUUCGUGCUUCUGAAAAUCUCGGCUCUCGCGGACAAGGGGUCGCGGUUUUAUGGCAUUUGGCGCGUCUAGGAGCGUCUGCAUCUCAAAGCGCGAGACUAAGGACCAAUGAACUAAGAACGGAGGAGGGAAAAAACUGAUGGUGUUGGUCUUGGAGAGCAUAUAUAACCCGUAUGGUCAGAAAUAGAUGAUAAACGAACACCCCGAAGAGGAAGUGGGCACAUUGGUUUAGCCUCUUCCCGUCUUAUGUUACCUAUAUUCCAUCUUUCGGAGCACAUGGAGGUUGAGACUCAAAAGCAUUGUUAGGUGUUUCUAUCUAAAAAUAAAAUUAUGCAUGUCAGCAUGAAGUGAGAAUAGUAACACACAAGCUUUUUCCCUCUUUUUUCCUACAUCCUACAUGCCUUUCGGCUUGGGCUAAGGAUUGGAUGGACUCACUCGCCUUUAUGUUUCGCUUAACACCUGGUAAUGUGGAUGCUCUUAUCACUUGUGUAAGAUGGCUUCUCGAAGACAGAAAGUUUGUCCCCUCCACAAAUGCUUAGCUUGUGGCGCACCGCCCUCUUUCUUAUUUAUGUAUUAUACUUCCUUUUUCAUUCAUCAUUUAGACACCCCUUUCCGUCGGUCGUCACCCGUUGUGGGAGACGGUAUUGAAGCAACACUUGAUGUUUUUUUUCUUUAUGCCACUCUAAGGUCAUACAUCCAAACCCCCACGGUCAUUUUAUAGGUGGCAUAAGGCCCCAAAUUUCUCUUUCUUUACCUAGACUUGAGGCUGAUGUCGAAACUUAACUUUAGGGUGAAAAGAUGAUAAUAUUUCUAAGGAGAUUGGGAGUGACCGGCACCAUGAAUUUGUACACAAUGGAUUACUGGGUUAACUAUUUUGCUUUCUUGGCUUUUUGCUCCUUUUCUUGAAAAAUAAUAAUAAACUCGGUUAUGGGUGGACAGUCUGCUCGGUUAUAACCUUGUCAUGUGUUGUCGAAGCUAGGAUCAAUGUGCUUCUCGGGGCAAACAGAGGAUAAAGCAAUAAGAAAAAAAAAGACGAUAACAACGCUACGAGGUAUAGUGCGAAAAUCUAGUGGUGGAAAAUCCUGGACCCAAGCUUGGUUGAGCAUAAAUCAUCAGAAACGUGAGGUGAACCAUUCGGUAGAAGUGGACAUGUCAAUUUGUUCUCUUCCUUAUGACUCUUAUGUUACUUCUAUUCCAUCUUCGAAAGCAAAUAGAAGUUGACACGUAAAACAUUAUUAAGAAACUUUCUAAUGGUAAUAAAAUAGUAUGUGUCAUGAUGAAGUUUUCAGCUUUAGCUCACAUUUAGCUCCGCUUAACAUCUAGUGAUGCGGACGCUCUUAUCACACAUACUAGACAAAAAAAUUAAGAGGGAAGUUUUUCUCCCCCACGAAUAUUUGCUGGGCACCGCCAUUUUCUUAAGUUAUGCAUUAUACUUCCUAUUUUAUUCAUGAUUAUGUCAUAUCUCUUUUUAAGGAGCCAUAGAGUAACCAACACCAUAAUAAAUUCGCAAUACAAUGGAUGGGUUACUAGUUGAAUUUUUGUUUUCUUGGUUUAUCACCCUUUGAAAAAACUAGAUUUGUUAUGGGUGGAUGGAGGAGGUUGCGCUUAUAGCCUUGGUGUAUCUAGUCAUAUCUAAGAGUAUAUGUAUCUCAAGGUGUUGAACAAUAGGUAAAGCACUACGAAGAUGGUUUUAGCAACUUUGUGGGAUGUAAACCUUCUCGCAAAAAAACUUAGCACCAAUAGUAGGCCUAGAAUUUGUAACACAUAUUACCAGAAACUGGUGGUAAACCCCUGAAAAAGAAGUGGACACGUCACCUUAAUCUCUUCCAUAUGAAUUCUUUUACUUCUAUUCCAUUUAUGGAAGCACAUGAAAGUUGAGACGUAAAACAUUGUUAGGUAAAUUAAAUAAUUUGUAGGCGAAGUGAGAGUUGUAUCAUAUUAGCUUAUAAUCUCUUUACCCCACGGGCCUUUUGGUUUCAGUUCCGGAUAGACCAUUGCACAUUUAGCUUUUGCUUAACCCCUAGUGAUGUGAAUGCUCUUAUCACCUAUACAUACUACUCACUUUGUACCUAUAGUUAUCCCCAACAACAAUUAUUUAGGUACGAAGGAAGUGGUAGACAACUUCUCAGGAUGCGAAGGUUUUUGUGCUCCUUCUCUGUGAAUUCUUGCGGCACACCGCCGUCAUUCUUAGAUAUUCAUAUGCUUCCUUUUCUCGGUCAUCAUUUAGGCAUCCAUUUCCAUCAUUCAUCACCCAUUAUGGGAUAUGGAUUCGGAGCACCGUUCGAUUACUUUUGAGUGCGUCGCUAUGAAGUUGUAUAUCGGAAGGCGAACCCCUCAUGAUCAUUGAACACGUGGCACAAGAGUCACAUGCUUUUUUUCUUAUUGCCUAAUAUAUACAUGUAUGUACGAGCCAAUGUUGUUGCUCUUUCAAUAUCAAACAAAUUUAGUUUUAACCGCAUAUGUACUGUCCAUAGAUACAGACCAACGGUUAAUUAGGCCACGAAAAGAGAACAUAUAUGAAAAUUCAUAAUGGCCCUAAACUUCUUUUUUUUACGUAAAUUGGAGGUCGAUGCCGAAUUGUGAACUUUAUCAGGGUCAAAAUAGAUGCUCGUACUUGCUUUUGGCGCACAACGGUCUUCCUUAUUUACGGAUUAUACUUCCUUUUUUGUCAUCAUUUAGGCAUCCAUUUCCAUCAUUUGUCACCCACCGAGGAGAUGGAUACCGAAGAAACACUCAAUGAUUUUUGUGUGCGCCACUCUAAGGUAGUGCGUCCGAAAAGCGAAGCCUCCAUGAACACUUCAUAGAUGGUACAUGAGUACAUGUUUUUUUUACUUUGUACAUGUAUGAAUGGUCCCAAAUUUCUCUUAUGUUCUUUUUACCUGGACUAGAGGUCGAUGUCGAGUUUUAAACUUUAGGGUGAAUAGAUGAUAAUAUUCUUAAGGAUGUUGAGAGUGACUCGCACCUUCAACUUGUAAAACAAUGGAUUACUGGUUGAAUUAUUUUACUUUCUUGGAAUUUUUGCUCUUAAAAAAUGAACUUGGUUAUGGGUGGACAGAGUGGUGGCGUUUAUAGACUUGGUAUGUGUUGUCAAAUAUAGGAUCAUUUGUAUCUCGGUGGUAAACAAAGGAUGAAGCAAUAAGAAAAAGGUGGCGACGGUACUACAAGAUAUAGUGCGAAAAAAUAAUGGCAAAAAUCUUGGACCCAAAGUAGAGCAUCUAUAACCUGUAUUGUCAUAAACAAGGAGGUGAACCCCAUGGAAAGUAGAAGUGGACACAUCAAUUUGUUCUCUUCCUUAUGACUCUUAUGUUACUUUUAUUCCAUCUUCGUAAGCAUAAAAAGUUAACAUGUAAGACAUUGUUAGGUAAUUAGUCUGAUAAUAAAUAAUACAUAUUGGCGAUGAAAUUUUUGGCUUUCUUUCUCGGUAAACCCUCUCACAUUUUGCUUCCGCUUAAAAACUUGUAGCUAUGUUAUGAGAUAUAAGUCUUCUGGCAAAAACUUACCACUAGUAGUAGACCUAGCAUAUGUAACCCAUAUUAAAAUCUGGUGGUAAACGUGAACCGAGUGUAGCCCAAAUGGUUAGGUUCCUUGUGGUGAAACCAGCCCACGGGGUUCAAAUUCAAAUCCCAGACUCGACACUGGUGCUCACAUUUUCUUGGAUAUAUUUCAGGCUUUUUUGUGAUGUUCAUUUUAUGGGAGGAGACGUUUCCGCCAACUACGAAGGCACCUGUGGUGACUUCGUUAAUCUCAAGAUGUUUUAUCGGUUCAAUACUUUAGAGUUGCUCACAAAGAUAAUAUGUGGGUAUUUGUGUUUGUACUGUAUGGUGGUAAACCUCUGAAAAAGAGGUGACCACACCACUUUGGUCUCUUCCAUAUGAAUCUUUUUUUUCACUUCUAUUCCAUUCAUGGAAGCACAUGGAAGUUGAGACGUAAGACACUGUUAGGUAACUUAUCUAAAAAUAAUGCGUAGAAGUUAAGAUGAAGCAAGAAUUGUAACAUAUAAGCUUCUGUCCUCUUUCAUAUACCCCAAGGGCCGAUCUCGACUUCAGUUUCGGACAGACCAUCACACAUUUAGCUUCUGCUUAACACCUAGCGAUACGGAUGUUCUUAUCGCAUAUACAUACUAGUAGACGGCUUCUCGAGGACGGGAAAUCAUUUAUUUUUUGUUUCUUCUAUAUGAAUGCUUGCGGCAUACCGUCCUCUUCCUUAGUUAUUCAUAUACUUCCCUUUCUGUUUAUCAUUUAGGCAUCUCUUUCGAUCGUUCGUCACCGGUCAUGGGAGACAGAUACCAAAGCAACGUUCAAUAAUUUUUGCGUGCGCCGCGCUCUGGUUGCAAGAUCAGAAAGAAAAACCUCCAUGAUCACUUCACACGUGGCGCAAGAGUCACAUGUUUUUUUCUUCUUAUUAUUGCUGACUACGUAGAUGCACGAGCAAGUGUUUCUGCUCGUUCAAAAAUAACAAAUUCAGUUCGAACCGCAUGACCGUAUCUGCACUGCUCCACGAGGGAGACCGAUUGUUAGGCCAUGAAAAGAAACCAUAUAGAAAUGAAAAAAAAAAUCAUAAUGAAGCUAAUAAUUAAUGAAUGGACGUAGGGUCACAGAGAGACCGAUCUUAGUCACGGUGACUUGGAUCCGACACGGCCGGCAUCACCUCACCCGUCCCGUUCCUAAUGCUGGAUGAGAAUGGCCUCACUGUGUUCAUGUCGAUGUGAAUUUUUUUUUGGUUCAGAAUGAAAAAGAAAAAGUAUAUAUAGUAAUAAUAACACGAAGAAACAUCCAAGGCCGAUGACGAGAAACGGCCGGCGUUGCGGGGCGGGACGGCGGCGAUUGGACCGAGAAGCGGAAAUUCUUCACUUUCUUCAGAACCUAACAAAUUUGGUGACCUCCGGACGGUUUUUAACUCGAAACUUUCUAAGGGCGAAGAAAAAGCCAUAAACUACUGAGGGAAAGGAACUGCAUGAAUGGUGCCGGAUUUCAUGGCAGGUAGCCCUCGCCAUCGGUGGCGACUGGCACAAAGCAGUGGCUGCCAAUGGCAAACCAUGUGACAGGUCCGGCGGAUCACCAUCCGGUCUACAUGUCACACAUACUCUGCACCUGAUUUUCUGAACAUGAUGCACCACCGUCACGCAAACCAUGUGCUAAUCUCUGAAGAUGAUAGGCAUCAGGCAGGCAGGGGUGCAUGGUGUUGGCCUUGACAAGGCAUAUGAGAUGUCAGAAGAUGAGAUGGACCUCACCUCACCUCACCUCCUCUUCUCUGCUUCCGUCGAUUCUUCGUCGUCGACAGGCGAAUCGGACGUCCGAUUCGAGACCGAAAGCAGCCCUACAGUUGCUGCCCGUCACAUGAAGAUGAUCUGCCUCCAAUUCUGCUCCCCACCCACAUAUGCACCAUGUCGCCGGAGAAAAGUUAAGUUGGGCAGGAAGGAGAUGUGUUCUGAUGAUGAAAUGGAAUGGAAAGUGUUCACGGUGCAGAAAGAACAGAAUUUCUCUGCCUCCAGCCAACAGCACAAUCUACAGGCUACAGCUACAGGGGAACAGCAGAAUGAGACCGGCACCAGCAACUCUUUUUCCUUUUCCUCCGGCGAGAAUUCACCACCAGAAAUGAACCUUUGCUGGGUUAUUUGCGGCGGAGAUUUGAUCAUCAUGUCUGGUAACAAGGAUCGGUCGCGAAGAUCGACCGUCCGAUCAAAACGUCGAUUGUAGCCUCCCCCCUAUCCAUGUGCUGCUACCACCAAGAAAUUCUCCCAGUUGCACCAAGGGGUCUCUUUCUGAUGUGAGCAUCUGGGUCUGGGUCUUAUCUGGGCAAAAGAAUGGCCGGCAGGGAUGUACCACCCAGCAUCAGAUAUUCAGAUCAUUCUCCGAUAAGGCACAUCCUCCGAUUGGUUGGCAGAAAUCCACUGGCUCAGGUCACAUCUUGCCUGAAUCUGAAUUGACAAUUCCCUGGCUCCCUGCACACAACCCUUUCCACAUGAAAAAUGACAGGUUUUCAGUAGUUCUUGAGAAAAAAGACGGAAAGUUUUAAGUUGUGCACAAACUAGAUUAGUAGCGUGCACAAGAUGGAAGAGCUGAAACUGGACCAAAAUCACAAGCAACCUACUGAUUCACAAUCUUGCAGCUCAGACCAGGGUAAUACACAAACAAAAGACUGUUUAAUCAGAAAUCUACAGGACCAAAAAAGUUACACGCUGCAGCGCAAACCGUGCACCGGUUACGAACUUCAUAUCUCUAUGAACAGCUAGCCAUACUUACAGUCACAGGCAGGAGGGUGGUGGCAUCCAUUUCAGCAGGUCUUUAUGAUCUCUGGUUUCCAGCCCCGCCACACGAUCUGGCGGCACCCGAACUUGAACUCCUGGAGCCUCCUCUUCAAUGACCCUUUCUUGGUCCGCUUCGCGCCCGGCCCGGAGACCGAGCCGUGGUAGUGCAGGGGAGGCUCCGGCGGGCCGAUCUCGACGCUGUCGACGAUCUUCUGCACCAUCUCAUACACCUCGCUCAUCUUUGGGCGCGACUUGGGCAUCCGGAGGAGGCAGCGGUUCGCCACACCGGCCAACUUUGUCAUGGACUUGAGGUUGUAGUGGCCCUCGAGCCGCGGGUCGACGAUGAUGGGGAACCGUUUGACAUCGGAGAUGUACGGUUUCACCCAGUCCAGGAGCUUCUGCUCGCUCUUUGGGCGGUUCCUGUCAAUGGGACGCCGGCCGGUGAUGAGCUCGUAGAGGAGCACACCAUAGCCCCAUAUGUCGCUUUUUGCAGUCAGGCGUCCGGUUUGCAUGUACUCCGGCGCGGCGUAUCCUAGAGUUCCAACAACCUGUGGAACCAUAAGUACUUAACAUGUUAGUUUAGUUGAACAGAUUACAGAUGCAUCAAGUUCAAAGUUGUAUUAGAAACUGAACAAAAUCUUCUUUAAAAAGGAACUAAAAAAAUGGCAAGAGGAGAAUGAAAUUCAUAAAAUUAUUACAUGGAGAAUCUCAUACGAUUUCUAAAGCAAGCACUUUAGGGGGGCACCAGGUAGCAGUGCAUAUGUAGCUAUUGCUAGGCCUCACAUAGUGGGAUCCAUGUGUCAUAAAAAGAAACAAUAUGGUUUUCUUUUGUGCAAAAUCUAUUCUUAAUGAAACCAGGGUAUAACUAAACCAAUGUCUCCUAACAAAAUAAUAGUUUAGUUGACAUGUCAACAUAUGUGCAACAAGUUCUUUGCAAAAAACUCUGGCGCAGCAAAGCGUGUAAAAUCACCCUAGUUGUUAUGGUAGUUAGGAACUUAGGAUGAAUACUUUAAAACCGAAUUCUUGUUACUUGUAUGUGCAGUUGGCUUUAUCUGAAGAAGAGAAAUGUGAUUUCUUUAAUAGACGUCAUUUUGGCUAGUGCUGCAUUCUGAAGCUGCCACAGGAAACGUAUAUAGUUCCGAUUAACGCUUCAGGCUGAAGUACUCGCUCCUUUCUAGGACUUCAGUUGUAAUUCUCGAAAAAAUAAGAACAUGAUUGUUGAGCACUUCAGAAACUAAAACAUAUGCAUUUAAACAUCAAUAGCCAUGUACUGAAACAACUAUACCAUUUGAGGUGGAGCAACUGGGUAUCCAUUUCCAACGUCAUUGCUAUAAAAAAAGGAACCAUGUUCUAGGAAAAGUUAUCGGAACUAAACAAAGUGGCAAAGAAGAGAACAAACUUCAUAAAACUAGUGCAUGGAGAAUCUUCUACAACUUUCAUGUGUGUGUGUGUGGGGGGGGGGNNNNNNNNNNNNNNNNNNNNNNNNNNNNNNNNNNNNNNNNNNNNNNNNNNNNNNNNNNNNNNNNNNNNNNNNNNNNNNNNNNNNNNNNNNNNNNNNNNNNGACCAUACGGGUUAUAUAUGCUCUCCAAGACCAACACCAUCAGUUUUUUCCCUCCUCCGUUCUUAGUUCAUUGGUCCUUAGUCUCGCGCUUUGAGAUGCAGACGCUCCUAGACGCGCCAAAUGCCAUAAAACCGCGACCCCUUGUCCGCGAGAGCCGAGAUUUUCAGAAGCACGAAAAGCGAAGAAAGUAAAAUACCAACGAAUAACCCAUUGUUUUAUGCGUUGUUAUUAUUAUUAUUAUNAUUAUUAUUAUUAUUAUUAUUAUUAUAUAAUACGGUGCGGGUCACUCUCGACCACCUUUAAAAGAUUACCAUCUUUUCACCCCUAUUAAAGUUGAAAACCCGACAUCGACCUCCAGCCCAGUCCAAGGUAACAAAAAGAUAGUAUUACAAGAAGAGAGAAAUUCCUGGGGGCCGUUUGGCUUUUAGCCAGCUGCUGCGGCCAGCGGCGUACGGCGACGGACGAGUCGGGAGAAAAGAUGCCAUUCCCGAUGCCAGGCCAGGCCCCCGGGCUGGCCGCAUCCGGGCCGCGGGGCCCGUCGUCAGGAGCGCCGGGAUGGGAUGGCUAGAUUCCCCUCGGAGUCCGCGCGCUGGCUCGGCUCAGAUGGGCCUGUGACGUCAACGCCCGCUGGCUCGUCUGGCCCCUGGCGGGGCCCGGCCCGCUGACGCGAUUCCACUGGUCGACGCCGUCCUUGUUGCGGUUAAACCCCUGUGGUUUGCUGGAAUUGCGUUUGGGACCUCGUACUGGUUAGUGGUAUAGCAGUGUACGACCGAUAGGUGCGGCUCGACUCGAACGUUGUUUGGUUGGUACCACUAGAGCUUAAUGCGUACACGUGUUAAACUUGNNNNNNNNNNNNNNNNNNNNNNNNNNNNNNNNNNNNNNNNNNNNNNNNNNNNNNNNNNNNNNNNNNNNNNNNNNNNNNNNNNNNNNNNNNNNNNNNNNNNNNNNNNNNNNNNNNNNNNNNNNNNNNNNNNNNNNNNNNNNNNNNNNNNNNNNNNNNNNNNNNNNNNNNNNNNNNNNNNNNNNNNNNNNNNNNNNNNNNNNNNNNNNNNNNUUCCUUUGACGAGCAACAUGCUCAAGUUCAUGUCAAAUAAAAAUUAAAAAACGUGCCAAAUAAAAAGGCUCCAAAUUCCUUUAAAAAAAGUUCAUGUCUAACAGAAAAAAACGUUCCAAAGUUGCCAAGUUGGUGCCCUCGCUUAUGACAAGAUNNNNNNNNNNNNNNNNNNNNNNNNNNNNNNNNNNNNNNNNNNNNNNNNNNNNNNNNNNNNNNNNNNNNNNNNNNNNNNNNNNNNNNNNNNNNNNNNNNNNAUGCUAUUACUACUAAAGCUACAUCCUAGCAAAAUAGUAAACGCAUCUGCAAGCACAAACGUUAGUAUAAAGACAACCCUAUGGCUCCUGUCGGUUGCCGUACCAUCGACGUGCAAGUCGAUAUUAACUAUUACAACAUGAUCAUCUCAUACAUCCAAUAUAUCACAUCACAUCGUUGGCCAUAUCACAUCACAAGCAUACCCUGCAAAAACAAGUUAGACGUCCUCUAAUUUUGUUGUUGCAUGUUUUACGUGGUGACCAUGGGUAUCUAGUAGGAUCGCAUCUUACUUACGCAAACACCACAACGGAGAUAUAUGAGUUGCUAUUUAACCUCAUCCAAGGACCUCCUCGGUCAAAUCCGAUUCAACUAAAGUUGGAGAAACCGUCACUUGCCAGUCAUCUUUGAGCAAAGGGGGUUACUCGUAACGAUGAAACCAGUCUCUCGUAAGCGUACGAGUAAUGUCGGUCCAAGCCGCUUCAAUCCAACAAUACCGCGGAAUCAAGAAAAGACUAAGGAGGGCAGCAAAACGCACAUCACCGUCCACAAAAACUUUUGUGUUCUACUCGAGAAGACAUCUACGCAUGAACCUAGCUCAUGAUGCCACUGUUGGGGAACGUCGCACGGGAAACAAAAAUUUUCCUACUCGCACGAAGACCUAUCAUGGUGAUGUCCAUCUACGAGAGGGGAUGAGUGAUCUACGUACCCUUGUAGACCGUACAGCAGAAGCGUUAGAGAACGCGGUUGAUGUAGUGGAACGUCCUCACGUCCCUCGAUCCGCCCCGCGAACAAUCCCGCGAUCAGUCCCACGAUCUAGUACCGAACGGACGGCACCUCCGCGUUCAGCACACGUACAACUCGACGAUGAUCUCGGCCUUCUUGAUCCAGCAAGAGAGACGGAGAGGUAGAAGAGUUCUCCGGCAGCGUGACGGCGCUCCGGAGGUUGGUGAUGAUCUCGUCUCAGCAGGGCUCCGCCCGAGCUCCGCAGAAACGCGAUCUAGAGGAAAAACCGUGGAGGUAUGUGGUCGGGCUGCCGUGGAAAAGUCGUCUCAAAUCAGCCCUAAAACCUCCGUAUAUAUAGGUGGGAGGGAGGGGACCUUGCCUUGGGGCUCAAGGAGCCCCAAGGGGGUCGUCCGAGUCCAAGGGGGGAGGACUCCCCCCCCCCAAACCGAGUUGGACUUGGUUUGGUGGGAGGGAGUCCCCCUUCCUUCCCACCUCCUCCUUUUUUUUCUUUCUCUUUGAUUUUUAUCUCUAUGGCGCAUAGGGCACUUGUGGGCUGUCCCACCAGCCCACUAAGGGCUGGUGUGCCUCCCUCAAGGCCUAUGGGCUUCCCCGGGGUGGGUUGCCCCCCCGGUGAACUCCCGGAACCCAUUCGUCAUUCCCGGUACAUUCCCGGUAACUCCGAAAACCUUCCGGUAAUCAAAUGAGGUCAUCCUAUAUAUCAAUCUUCGUUUCCGGACCAUUCCGGAAACCCUCGUGACGUCCGUGAUCUCAUCCGGGANNNNNNNNNNNNNNNNNNNNNNNNNNNNNNNNNNNNNNNNNNNNNNNNNNNNNNNNNNNNNNNNNNNNNNNNNNNNNNNNNNNNNNNNNNNNNNNNNNNNNNNNNNNNNNNNNNNNNNNNNNNNNNNNNNNNNNNNNNNNNNNNNNNNNNNNNNNNNNNNNNNNNNNNNNNNNNNNNNNNNNNNNNNNNNNNNNNNNNNNNNNNNNNNNNNNNNNNNNNNNNNNNNNNNNNNNNNNNNNNNNNNNNNNNNNNNNNNNNNNNNNNNNNNNNNNNNNNNNNNNNNNNNNNNNNNNNNNNNNNNNNNNNNNNNNNNNNNNNNNNNNNNNNNNNNNNNNNNNNNNNNNNNNNNNNUAUUUAUUCCCUUUGUCCUUCGGUAUGUUACUUGCCCGAGAUUUGAUCGUCAGUAUCCGCAUACCUAUUUCAAUCUCGUUUACUGGCAAGUCUCUUUACUCGUUCCAUAAUACAAGAUCCUGUAACUUACACUAAGUCACAUUGCUUGCAAGGCUUGUGUGUGAUGUUGUAUUACCGAGUGGGCCCCGAGAUACCUCUCCGUCAUACGGAGUGACAAAUCCNNNNNNNNNNNNNNNNNNNNNNNNNNNNNNNNNNNNNNNNNNNNNNNNNNNNNNNNNNNNNNNNNNNNNNNNNNNNNNNNNNNNNNNNNNNNNNNNNNNNUUAUCCAUGCUAUAAUUGUAUUGAUUGGAAACACAAUACUUGUGUGGAUACAUAGACAAAACACUGUCCCUAGUAAGCCUCUAGUUGACUAGCUCGUUAAUCAAAGAUGGUCAAGGUUUCCUGGCCAUAGGCAAGUGUUGUCACUUGAUAACGGGAUCACAUCAUUAGGAGAAUCAUGUGAUGGACUAGACCCAAACUAAUAGACGUAGCAUGUUGAUCGUGUCAUUUUGUUGCUACUGUUUUCUGCGUGUCAAGUAUUUAUUCCUAUGACCAUGAGAUCAUAUAACUCACUGACACCGGAGGAAUGCUUUGUGUGUAUCAAACGUCGCAACGUAACUGGGUGACUAUAAAGAUGCUCUACAGGUAUCUCCGAAGGUGUUAGUUGAGUUAGUAUGGAUCGAGACUGGGAUUUGUCACUCCGUGUGACGGAGAGGUAUCUCGGGGCCCACUCGGUAAUACAACAUCACACACAAGCCUUGCAAGCAAUGUGACUUAGUGUAAGUUGCGGGAUCUUGUAUUACGGAACGAGUAAAGAGACUUGCCGGUAAACGAGAUUGAAAUAGGUAUGCGGAUACUGACGAUCGAAUCUCGGGCAAGUAANNNNNNNNNNNNNNNNNNNNNNNNNNNNNNNNNNNNNNNNNNNNNNNNNNNNNNNNNNNNNNNNNNNNNNNNNNNNNNNNNNNNNNNNNNNNNNNNNNNNNNNNNNNNNNNNNNNNNNNNNNNNNNNNNNNNNNNNNNNNNNNNNNNNNNNNNNNNNNNNNNNNNNNNNNNNNNNNNNNNNNNNNNNNNNNNNNNNNNNNNNNNNNNNNNNNNNNNNNNNNNNNNNNNNNNNNNNNNNNNNNNNNNNNNNNNNNNNNNNNNNNNNAUAUUGACCGAGGAGUCACUCGGGUCAUGUCUACAUAGUUCUCGAACCCGCAGGGUCUGCACACUUAAGGUUCGACGAUGUUUUAUGCGUAUUUGAGUUAUAUGGUUGGUUACCGAAUGUUGUUCGGAGUCCCGGAUGAGAUCACGGACGUCAUGAGGGUUUCCGGAAUGGUCCGGAAACGAAGAUUGAUAUAUAGGAUGACCUCAUUUGGUUACCGGAAGGUUUUCGUGCAUUACCGGAAAAGUUUCGGGCUCAUCGGUAGUGUAUCGGGAGUGCCGGGAGGGGUGCCGGGGACCAUCGGGAGGGGUGUCACGCCCCAAGGGUCUCAUGGGCUAUGGGAAGAGAUAAACCAGCCCCUAGUGGGCUGGAAUAAGUUCCCACUAAGGCCCAUAAGGUUUGAGAAGGAAAAAACACAAGGUGGAAAGAGUUUCCAAGUGGGAAGGUGGAAUCCUACUCCAAGUAGGAUUGGAGUAGGACUCCUCCACCUCCAAUUUCGGCCAAACCUUUAGGUUUUGAGGCUGCCUCCUCCCCUCCCUCCCACCUAUAUAUACGGAGGUUUUAGGGCUGAUUUGAGACGACUUUCUCACGGAUGCCCGACCACAUACCUCCAUAGUUUUUCCUCUAGAUCGCGUUUCUGCGGAGCUCGGGCGGAGCCCUGCUGAGACAAGAUCAUCACCAACCUNNNNNNNNNNNNNNNNNNNNNNNNNNNNNNNNNNNNNNNNNNNNNNNNNNNNNNNNNNNNNNNNNNNNNNNNNNNNNNNNNNNNNNNNNNNNNNNNNNNNNNNNNNNNNNNNNNNNNNNNNNNNNNNNNNNNNNNNNNNNNNNNNNNNNNNNNNNNNNNNNNNNNNNNNNNNNNNNNNNNNNNNNNNNNNNNNNNNNNNNNNNNNNNNNNNNNNNNNNNNNNNNNNNNNNNNNNNNNNNNNNNNNNNNNNNNNNNNNNNNNNNNNNNNNNNNNNNNNNNNNNNNNNNNNNNNNNNNNNNNNNNNNNNNNNNNNNNNNNNNNNNNNNNNNNNNNNNNNNNNNNNNNNNNNNNNNNNNNNNNNNNNNNNNNNNNNNNNNNNNNNNNNNNNNNNNNNNNNNNNNNNNNNNNNNNNNNNNNNNNNNNNNNNNNNNNNNNNNNNNNNNNNNNNNNGCGACGUUCCCCAACAAGUUACUCUCAAGAGGGGUGUUUAUUUGCUGUCAUUGCACGAGGGAGGUUGGUAACAAGGGUGUCCAGCCCUGCUUGACCAAAAUUAAAUCAAAACAAAACUCCUUGGGAAAGAUGAUAUGUUGGAGGGAACUCGUGAAUUCGGCUAGCCAUGGUUGUGUAUCAAUGGUGGAUAGGAGUUAAACUUUACAAUUAUGUUUGGGAACCACCUAUAAUGAGUUUAGCAUAGAAGACACCGAGAACCUUCGUCGUAAUGUUGACACUAAAGAACACCACUCAAAAUUAUAUUUUUAACUCUGCUUUAAAACUUGAGCUCUGACACCUCUGCAAAACAAUAUUUUCCUCUGCGAAGGGCCUAUCUAUCUACUUUUAUGUUGAGUCAUCACCCUCUUACUAAAAGCACCUCACCGGAGAGCACUAUUGUCAUUUUUAUGCAUCAAUAUUGGUACGAGUAUGACUAGGAUCUUUUCUAUUCUGAAUUAUAAUAUUUAGUCACUACUUGAAUCUCACAGGUGCUCUACAUUUAUAUUUUGCGGUCUCGGAAAGGGCUAGCAAGAUACCAUGACACCAUAUUAUAUCGUGAUUGUUUUGAACAAUUGUUGGCAUGUGAGAUAUCUUAUUAUUGCUUACUAGUUGGUUAUGUAUUUCCAUGAUUGGAUAUGAUGCUUAAACUAUUAUCAUGGAUGUGUUCAUUUAUGAUUUAUGCUGAAAACUAUAACAUUAGCUAAGCAUGUGUAUAAUAACAAGAACAAAAGAGUUUGUAAAAGUUUUCUUUAUCACUUUCAGUUUAUCACCAGAACUACCUUGGUGUUAUUUUUGUGUAGAAAUAAAAAUUAUAGGAAUUAGACGAAACUUUUUGUGAAUUAUUUUAGGAAUUUAUAACGAUUUAUGAAGCGAAGACCUGUCGAAUUGGAAGUUUCACGGGGGUUGAUGGCUUGUGGGGCCCUCUAGGCUCCUCCGACCCUAAUUCCAGUCCUAUAAAUUCAUAUUCUCCGAGAGAGAAAUAAGAGAGAAGUUUUCAUCGUGUUUUACAAGACGGAGCCGCCGCCACCUCCUGUUCUUCCUUCGGAGGGCUGAUCUGGAGUCCGUUUAGGGCUCCGGAGAGGGGGGGAUUCGUCGUCGUCAUCAUCACCAUCCCUUCUCCAUCAACACCACCAUGAUGCUCCCCACCGGGAGUGAGUAAUUCCUUUGUAGGCUUGAUGGACAAUGAUGGAAUUGGAUGAGAUUGAUCAUGUAAUCGAGUUAAGUUUGAUAGAGCUUGAUCUCUAGCAUCCACUAUGUUCUGAGAUUGAUAUUACUAUGACUUUGUUAUGCUUAUUGCUUGUCACUAGGGCCCGAGUGCCAUGAUUACAGAUCUGAACCUGUUAUGUUUUCAUGAAUAUACGAGUGAUUUGGAUCCUAUCUUGCAAGUUAUAUUUACCUAUUACAUGUCUUAAUCCACAUACCCCAAGGUGACAAUAAUUAGGAUUCUUUUCGAUGAUUGUCGUAGUUUGAGAAGUUCAUUAUCUACUAUGUGUUAAUGCUUUAUUCCGGAUCUCUAUUAAAACGAGGCAUUAAUAUCCCUUAGUUUCCAAUAGGACCCCGCUGCCACGGGAAGGUAGGAUAAAAGAUGUCAUGCAAGUUCUUAUCGCAAGCACGUAUGACUAUAUACGGAAUACAUGCCUACAUCAUAUUGAUUAAUUGGAGCUAGUUUUGUGUCACCCUAGUGUGUAACUGUUAUAUGAUCAAUGUCAUCUAAAUCAUUAUCCACUGCCGAUCCAUGUGCCUACGCGUUACAUAUACUAAAUCUUGCAAAGUUAUUACUGUUGCUGCUACUGUCACACCUGCUACUAAAUUGCUAUUGCUACUACUAUUACCAAAAUUGCUGCUUUCACUUUUACUGUUACUACUAUCACUAGAUGUGCUACUAAAUAUUUGCUGCAGAAGGAUAUCCCAAGUGUGGUUAAAUUGACAACUCAACUGUUACGGUCAAUAAAUAUUCUUUGACUCCUCUUAUGUCGAAUCAAUAAACUAGGGUGAAAUACUAUCCGUGAAGACUGUCGCGAUCCCAUACACUUGUGGGUUAUCAAUCUUCAAUAACAUGUUUCUACGAGCCUUCUUAAAUGACCGGGAUUACUUUGAUGUAACCGAAGGUGUGUUUGUUGGGGCAUGAUGAAUUUCCACUUUAUGAUCAGAUUGUUCAUUGAAAUCAACUGAAUCUUUUGAGGCUAUGUUGUUGUAUAAUUAAAUAGAUUUGCAUUCUCUCCAAUCUAUCAAUCUUAUUUGGCCAAUUCCGAUGGGUUUCUUUAGAGGAAAUGGUGCUUUGCAGUUGGUUUAAUCUUGUGGUGAUCUAACCCAAUGACAAAAAAGGCCAAAACACGUAUUGUAUUGUUGUCACUAAGGAUAAAACGAGGGAUUUUUGUUGUAUUGAUUGACUUCUUCAUGUCUACAUUAUUUCAUCCUGCUCAUUGUGAUACAUGGUUCUUGCAAAUUUCAUACCUUGAGAUGCAUGUCGGAUAGUCGUUUAGGGGUGAAGUUGUAGUAGUCGAUGAAAUUGACGUAACAGUCUACUUAUAAUAGAUUGAAUGCCUAUGGCGGGAGCGGCAAUGGCACUAGCGGAGCAGGCGACACAAAUGGAGACAGAGUAGACGACAUGGAUGGCCGUGGAAGAGGAGGCGGCGCAGAUGUCGUCCGACAAGUGAUCCAUCAUGCUCGUACUUGCGUUUCAUUUUGGCAUGUCCGGUUGUUGAAGUAUAAUUUAUUUAUUUUUGUCCGCAUUGUUGAACACCUGAACUGUUGAAUUGUGAUGAAUUUGUGUUAUAUGAUCCACAUGCAUGGAUUGCAUGAAUUUGAGGGUUCGUAUUUGAGCUGUGUGAUUGUCCAGCAACCCAUAUAACUAGUCGUCUCGCAUUAUCCACACGUGUGCACGGGCCCACUCGUGGAUGUAUAGGGGGCGAAAAUAUUUAAGAACACACAACAACGCUAAGAUUUGAAAAUGAUGUUGCUUUUUUUAAAACAUACAAUAAAAACGUGAACAAUUUUGCAUUGUUCAAUAUUUUUUAAACACAAAUAAUUUUCAAAAUUCCAAACGUACCUACAUUUUGAAAUAUGUGAACAAAUGUUGGUAUUUCAAACAUAUUUUUAAAUUAAAAUAUAUGACAAAACCCAAACAAAGUUAGAUAUCCCAAACAAUUUUAAAUUGUGAAUAGUUUUUGAAAAUUACAAACUUUUUUUUUAAUAACAGUAACAAUUAAUUGAAAAAACGAACAUUUUUUUUAAAAAUGGAUCACUUUUUAUAUUGUGAAAGAAAAUUUGAAACCAUUUUUGAAUUUUUCAAAAUUGUGAACAAAAUUUUAUUUCCAGAUUAACUUUUAUGAAAUAUGAUUUUUUUUCACCAGUAAUUAUAUUUUUCAAACGUACCUACAUUUUGAANNNNNNNNNNNNNNNNNNNNNNNNNNNNNNNNNNNNNNNNNNNNNNNNNNNNNNNNNNNNNNNNNNNNNNNNNNNNNNNNNNNNNNNNNNNNNNNNNNNNNNNNNNNNNNNNNNNNNNNNNNNNNNNNNNNNNNNNNNNNNNNNNNNCGUACCUACAUUUUGAACAUUUUCCGAAACAUUUUGACUACAAUGAAAAAUGUAAACACCAAACGAGAAGCAAAAUAAUAAAAAACGAACACAAAAUACGGAAAAAGUUAAUUAAGAAAACAAAACUGAAACCAUCAUAAUUGGGUGGCCUCGCACGUACUAGAAGUGGGCCAGCCUAGUCCGUCCGUCGUCAGUUCUGUGUUUCACCAGUAAUUAGAGGCAUUUUGCCUAGCAAAAAAAAGAAAAAGCAAUGCGAGGCACUCAGCGAUAUAUUAGAGUUUUUCCGGCAAGCACGUAGAUUCUCCGAAAAAAAUGAGAAUUAAACGAACCUUGCUCUUUAUCAGCAGCCAGAGUGAGCCGAAAGAGAAAGACCCACUGCGUUGAUAUGCCNNNNNNNNNNNNNNNNNNNNNNNNNNNNNNNNNNNNNNNNNNNNNNNNNNNNNNNNNNNNNNNNNNNNNNNNNNNNNNNNNNNNNNNNNNNNNNNNNNNNNNNNNNNNNNNNNNNNNNNNNNNNNNNNNNNNNNNNNNNNNNNNNNNNNNNNNNNNNNNNNNNNNNNNNNNNUUUUUUUUUUUGCAUGAUGAAAACGAUUUUAAUUCCAUAAUGAUAGGGUUAUAUCCAGGUGGCACAAGAGCCCGAGUACAAAAAGGACAAUGUUGCAGCCAUACAGCAGUACAACACUCAAUGCGACUAGUUACAGUUAAAUAAUCCUUGCUCUUUCUUCCAUCAUUCUGGUGCACUUAGAGCAGCAAUAAUACUACACCUACAAACGUAGUUACCAAAUCUUAUGUAAUUUUCCUUCAUCAUAUUCUCUUCCCGUCCGCCCCCCCCCCCNNNNNNNNNNNNNNNNNNNNNNNNNNNNNNNNNNNNNNNNNNNNNNNNNNNNNNNNNNNNNNNNNNNNNNNNNNNNNNNNNNNNNNNNNNNNNNNNNNNNNNNNNNNNNNNNNNNNNNNNNNNNNNNNNNNNNNNNNNNNCCCCCCCCCCCCCCCCAAAUUCUAGCAGGUGGACCCUGCCUCCCUCAUGUUCCUAAGGAAAAUUGUUCGUUUCUGUGAUAAUACAGAUUGAUCAAGUAUCUCUUUUAUUGAUGAUCCAAGGAUUAUAUACAUGGGGAACCGUCGCCACGAAAGGACACGUCCGAUCGUGGGGGCGCGGGCAUGUCGAACGGUUGCCAUAAGCAAUCGACGGCAAUUUACACAAGGGAGGAUUAUCCCUAAUUAUAGAAUUAAUUUAAAUCCUAACAGUUUCAACCGUCUGAUUUCAUAGCUCCCUAAGCCGCUUGCUAUGCUCGCCACGUGUCCGUUAGGCCCACCCACCGCGUGCGGACCACCUCAUUCUUAUCUUUGAGUGACGUAUAUGAAACCAGCCAUUCCUUAUCUAUUUUCUCUAGAUCCCCUUCGUCUCUAUCGCUCAUUUCUCAUGCUGCUCCUCGCCAUGGACAUGCCUUUUCUUUUCUCUGCCACCAGUAUUGCUGGCCUGCGGCAGCUGGGGACAUUGGGUUGCAGACAGGCAGCCGCUCGACAGUCGCCGCAGGCGGGGCUGACUCAAGCGGCAGUGGCGGUGGCUCAAGAAGUCGUGAACACACCACACCUUCUCAUAUCUUUCCUACGCUUCUUUGCUACACAGCCAUCAACCCAUAGAAGAGAAGUAGAAGAGGAUCGAUGUGAGGCAUCCAUAAACGAAGCUUGUCACCCGAUCGACCACCGCCGGUGAACCAAUCUUGUGACCGUUUCUUCAUGCGGGCGGUGACAAAGGGGGGACCCCUGCUGCAAGGCAGGCUCGAUGCGGCGAGCACCGUCCGUGGAUGCAAUGAAGUACCAUGAGAGCUGCAACGGAGCUUUUGCCCGGGUUCAACAACGCUAAUUUGAAGCAGUGGCGCGUCUACAGUUGUUGUGAUCCAACGGACACAAGCGCGUUGAUCGGACGGCUGCCUAACCGGAUGAUUUCUUUCCCGUUGUUUCGUAGUAAUCCCCUAUUUCGUAGGUGAACAUCCAGCCAAAGCAAUCAUAUAGUGCAUCCCGGUCCACGAUCGGACCAGCUGGACGACGCCAAACGCGGGGCACGUCGUCUAGUCUACCAGAAAGAAGAACAAGAAGAGAAUUUAACCAGACUAUUCGUGGAACAAUUAAUGGUACGUACGUACAGAUUUUCCAGGGCGGACAAAUCAGCAUGCAGCCAGCCCGAUUCCAUCGAAGCCUCCUCACGGUAUCAACGUGGCACAUGUGAUCGACUUGGAUCACCUGGGGUUCCCCGGCCACCUGGUUGGCUGGCGCAACUCGAGUUACCACCCGGUCUUUUUUUACCAAAAAAAAAAAGACAGCACGAGAACGAGUACACGUACGUAGCCAUCAGCAGUUUAUUUUUCGGGGAAAAGCCACGCUUGCGGCUUGCAUAGGCUCGGCGUAAGCCCGUAACACGUGGAUGCAUGCCCCACGUGUCUGUCUGCCACUCACUGGUGCGUUGGUGCUUCGUAUUGCACGUGACCGCCAGCGCAUGAGGAAUGCAGGUAGGGAUCAUCUGACGGGAAAGGGCAGUAAAAGCGAGUGCACGGAGCGCGUGAGAUCUUUCAUGGCCGAUCGAUGUCGGUGAGGUGGAACGUGGAAGCGCGUACGCUGUCGGGCCGGCUGACCUGGACUGCCUGCCACGUGCUCGACUGGUGCUAAUCCGAUCCAACGCGUGCGAAAUGUUAGAAAUAAUUAAUAUGUAUUAAUUAUGUAAUUAAUCAAUACUAUGUCGGUUGUUCUUUUGGCAACCGCCUCUUUUGUAAACCGUCGUGUAUUGGAUAUAAAUAUCCCCAAUUUCCAUCAAUGAGAGAGACCGUUCAUUCUAUCAUUCCCCUUCUCUGCUUUUACUCUUAAUACGUUAUCAGCACGAGGCACUCUACCAUGGAUUUUGGUUCAGAGCCCAAAGAAUUAUAGCAAUUUUGAGAAUAAAUACAUUUUCACAAAUUUCACCGAUUCCAUCAGAAUCAUAUAAAAUAAAGACUAUAUUUGUCGACAUAUAUUUAUUCUCAAAAUUGCUAAAACCUUUUGGGCCCUGAACCAAAAUCCAUGGUAGAGUGCCUCUUGUACUCAUAUUGGUUCACACAAAAGGAAACAAGUAAUGAAGAAUAGCACUCGCUCUACGAACGAGUGGUAUUUACCACAGUAAUACCUACUCCUCAUAAGUAUCUUUCAUAUGGAAUACUAAAAACUUUUCAUUCAUAGACAAAGUCAAUGAGGUGGUGAGAAAGCGAGGCUUGUAGCAAAAGGGUUCACGAAGAGACCCGACAUCAAGUUAUGAUGUAACAUACCCUCUCGGUAUGAGUGGAAUUAAGUUUCGAUAAUAAAUAUCAUUGGCAGUACAAAUAAUAUUAUCCAUGCAGUUAAUGAAUGAAGUGACUACAUAAUCAUAUGGGUCACUCGUUUCGGAAAUAUAUAUUAAAGUCCCUGAAGGGCUUACAAUUCCGAAUCCAAAAUAAAUCGCAACAUAUUUGUGUAAAAUUUCAAAAGUCACUCUAUGACUAGAAAUAGUCGUGAAUCAUAUGGUACUACCGACUAGACGAGUUCCUCUUCACAGGAUUACUCAAAGGAUGAUGAUUGUUUGUGUAUUAAUAAAGAAAUACCAAAAUUUUAUUUCCUUACAUCACCCCAGUGUAUAUGAUGAUUUCAUCAUCAAUGUCUCUACAAGACCUAAACAUACAUAAAAUCAUCUCAAGACGGAAAAUUUGGAUUCAACCAAAUUUGGCUUAAGUUUACAACUUGAGCAUUUUAUCAAGAAUACGUAUCAGUCUACAUAUAUCUAAACAUAUACAAGAAGUUCAAUUUGGAUAUAUCAUAUCAAUAAAAGACAUGUAUGGUCAUACUACCUUUGAUAAGGUACAAAUCCAUUCAUUCCUAGGGGUGAUAAUAAAGUGACACUAGGACCUGAAGUUCUAUAUCUUACUAAUGCCAAAGCACUCAUAUACUUGCAAACUACGUCAGGCCUGACACUAUAUUUGAUACCUUUAUUCGGAGUGCGACCUCAAACAAAAGGUAUAUGAUUGAUAUAAGUACUAUCAUCUUAUAUCUAAAGAUUACAGUAAAUCUUGGAUAUUUCCAUCAGGAAAUAGAAGAUAUGACCAUGAUAUGAUGUAAUGAUAUUGACUCUUUAUUUGAUCCCAACAACGCCAUAUCAAUGACUGAAUUUGCUGGAAUAGCCUUCACAUGGAAGUCAUAUAAAUGGAUUUUAAUGGUUAUUUUCAGUUAUCAUUCUGACAUAAUUGAUUUAUCCUAAAGCAUUGCAAAAAUAUGUAUGGCUUGACAAAAUGAUUAACCACACUCAAAAUUAUGUGGUUGAGAUUCAUCAGAAUCACAUAACUUGAUUUAUCAAGAUACUUUCAUUUGUGUUACUCAAUACCUACAUGUUAUAUAAAGAGCAAUAUCAUAAAUCACAUCGCUCGAAAAUUACUUAUCCUCACGGAUUAUAGAAAAGCGAGGAAAUAAUUUGUAAACAAAUACUGUGAUAAUCCAACAAAUUAUACACAACUUCAUGUUCAUGUCAAUGGAAUUGGUAUGAGACAUCCUUCAUAUUUGCAAAGUUCAGGGUAAGUAAUCUCCCAAACUAUAACCUAUUAACAAUUAUGAGAUUGCAUAUAUUGUACUCUUUUCCUUGAUGAGUUUUCCCUAAUGGUUUCUCAUAAAAGGUUUUUAAUUGAGAUAAUAUAAACACAAGUAUCUAUAUAUGCCAUAUCAUUUUCUCCUUAUAUUUUUCCCACUGGGUUUUAAAGGAGUUUUCAAUGGCAUGUACAAUUGCACUCUUUUCCCUUAUGAGUUUUCUCCCAAAGUUUCUCAUAAUGGUUUUUAAUGAGGAAAUAUCUUCUCAAAGAUCAUAUGUUAUACUUUCUAUUUCCCUACCGGGGUUUUUAAAGGAAGUACUCAAGACAUAUCAAUUGUUCUCUAAACUCAUCAAUGAGUUUUCUCCUUCUACAAAGGUUUUUUCAAAUGAGUUAUCACGAGACAAUAAUCAUUAUAUGUUGUAUCAUUUUCUUCUUAUUUUUCCCACGGGGUUUAAAGAAGUUUUAGCAACAUAUCUAUACUAUUCUCCUCAUAUUUUUUCCACAGGGUUUUUGAAGAAGACUUUAAAGAUUAUACAAGGAUUUCUCAAGAUGGAAUGAUGAACAUUCUCAAGGACGAAGUUAUUUCUAAAAGAAGUCCUUAUCAAGAAGAUGGCUAUUUACAAGAUCAAGAAUUGAUUAGGGGGGGUGUUAGAAAUAAUUAAUAUGUAUUAAUUAUGUAAUUAAUCAAUACUAUGUCGGUUGUUCUUUUGGCAACCGUCCCUUUUGUAAACCGCCAUGUACUGGGUAUAAAUAUCCCCAAUUUCCAUUAAUGAGAGAGACUGUUCAUUCUAUCAUUCUCUGCUUUUACUCUUAAUACGAAAGACGCUGUCGAUAUAUAUACUGAAACUAAAGAAGCAUCACGUGUACCCGGACCCAUGUGAGCAGUGCCGCAGGUGCACCACCGCCACCGCUCGUGCUCGCCCUGGUUUUGAUUGCGUCGGCGUUGUUCACAGGCGGGAGCCAGCGCCGGCGGCGACCAAGACUCCAUGGGAAGACUUCGUCCGCCUUAUUCUUCCUCAUCUUCCCACUUGGGUGGCAGACACAGCCAGCCAGGGGCUUGCGGCUCCUCUACUGUCCCUUUCGUUCGUCAGUAGGUGAGAGUCGACACAAGACUACAGGAUUUUUGUCCAAAAGGACCCCCUGUCGAGUGGGAUUGUCAAAAAAGACCACCUGCGAGUGCAAACGGCUAAAAAGACCCCCACCCCGGGCGGCGGCAGGCGCGCCAGGCGGCACGUGGCACCUGCCGCCACCGCAGGAGGCGGCCGUGGGGCCUGCCGCCACCGUCUCUGGCGGCCGGGGCCUGCCGCCACCGCCCCUGGCGGCCAGCGCGGGAUCCGUUCCCGAUUCCUCCUGCCCGUAACGGACAAGGCCGGGUGGGCCCUGCCGCCUCGGGAGCAGGCGGCCAGGUGCAUUUUUCCGCGCGCCGGCACUGUUGCUGAUUGAUUGCGCUGAUUCCGAUGCUCUUUCCCGCUCGAAUUUUUGCCGCGCGGCCGGGCAGAACUGUGGGAUUUUUUCCCGCUCUCGACCGACGAAACAGUGCGAAAUUUACUCCUUUGCUCAGGUGAGAAGCUGGACAGUAAGUUUAAUCAGCACGAUACAUACCAGCAGCGCCGAGCCAGGAUUGAAACAGAUGGCAAAUGUGUAUCCUAUCCCAGUCACACAAUAUACAAGUGCGAGGAGUAUGAUGUAAUUAUCUCCAAUUGAUGAUCUCGGAUUGUUGAAGUAGUAAAACAUGGAGAGGUAAAUGAUUGGCUUUAAAACUGUGCUGAAAUGAUCGAUUGUAUCCCUGGCAAGAAAGUAUGGCAAUGAGCUCAUCCCAGAUUCUCUUUCCCUCAAGUACUGCAAUCUUGCACAGAAGAGCUGCACCAUGGAUUCGUAGUAACUUAAGUCAAAGAGCUUUCACAGAGUUAGGUAUAACAAGGUGGUGUCUGAAUAAUUGAACUUACAAACGGCAAUCCUUUUGAACAAAAAUAUUGUGCAAGUUGCACAGAUGGCUAAGUGCAUGGGAGGCAUAUACUACGGAUAUUUUGUUGGGCCGUGGUUAUCCCCCAUCCCUCGAACCAAACCAAGAUAUCCACGCUGGUGAAGGCGGGCGGAUUUUUCCGUGGUUUCACGGGGCUCUCAUCUUCGGGUCAGCAUUGUUCACCGCGGCGAUUUCAGAGGGACUCUUUGUGUCCUGGUCGACACUGUUCGUUACGGUGGUUUCGUGGGGCUUUUAUCUCUAGGUCGACGAGCAGUGCAAUAGUUUCCCGCCUAAUUUUCCCGCGUUAUUUUCCCGCCAAAUUUUCCCGCUGCAGUUUCUCGUUUUCGCUCCCUUUUUUCCCGUGUAGACAUCCGGCUGAGCCUAUAAAAGGAGGCAGGGAGUGAAACUCUCUUCACCAUCAGACAGACUUCAAAGCACCUGCACCUCCAUAGUCAGUAUGAGGUUGCCUUGUUCGGAUCAGAGCAUUAGGCCUAGGAAAAUGCAGAGUGCAAGCUUGCCUCGGGGGGUGGAAGCAGUUCGAUGUUGGUGCGGAGAUGUCUGCAAGGUGAAGGAGGUGACGGAUUUUCAGAUUGGUUGGGCAUGAAGUUUUUCAUGUGCGCCAAUUAUGAAUCUGAUCCACCCGAAUCUAUUUCUGCGUACGUCAGGCCUCCGGUAUGCUCAAGUCAUCCAGAUUAUUGUUAUUUGAUAUUAUUGUUUACUUGAAUCUGAUCCAUCCUUUAGUCUCCUCCUCCUCUCUGCAUGUACUAUCGUUGGAUUGACACGGAAAUGUCGGACUGGGCGGUGACCGAGAUUCGUGAAAGAGGUCGCCGUGCAUGGGCUAUCUUGGACUUGGAAGAGCGUCGUGAGAAGGCUGAAGCAGAGGAGAAAGCAGAGCAGAAGAAAGAGUGGGAAGAUUACUGUGUGGAGCAGAGGGCUUUUCUUGAUGAGAUGAUAAGGAAAAAUCAAGAAGAGAAACUUCGGCUGGAGGAUGUUUACAGACAGCGGGAACAGGCCCGUGAAGCUGAGAGGGAGAGAAAGAGAGAAAGGGCUCGUGCCGCCAAGGCAGCAGAAGAAGCUGGUGAUGGAAAAGGAAAAUAUCCACGUUGGACUCAGUAGAUUUAUUUUAUUGUAUGUUAAGUUGUCUUAGUUGUAUCUUAUUUCUGCAAGAUGUAUCUUAAUUUCGGCAAAUUGUAUCUUAGUUUCCGCAAUGGGUAUCUUAAUUUCAGCUACGUGUAUGUUCAUUUUAUCCCGCCAUUUAUUUUCCGCCUCGCUUUCCCGCCAUUUUUUCCCGCAUAUAGCUUUGCCGCCAGUUUGUUCCCGCCCUUGCUUUCCCGCCCUCGCUUUCCCACCCUCGCUUUCCCGCCAUUAGUUAUUCGUCUCGCUCUGCUGCACCUAUAAAACCCCCUCCAGACCAAGGUCGGUAAGGAGUGUGCUGAAAAUGUCUCAUUAUCCUUUCGAUCCUAGUUUUCAUAGUGGUAUGUCUGAGUGUCUUCUGCGCUUAGCUAGCAAUUUCAAGAUAGAUAAUAGAAUAGUUUCAUGGGACGAACUCAUCAGUAGUGACACGCUACUGAAUGAGGUUGCCCACGCAUUAGCUAGGAAGGGGUGGCCUGCAAGGACAUAUGAGGAGAUUCGGAAAAAACUUCUGCGGUUGAAUGAAAGAUGGAAGAAGAAAGGCCAACACAUACACUUUAGAUGUGAAUGCCGUUUUUUGAGUGGCAUCACACAACCCUCGGUAUGUGUGAGAAAGCAAAGCAGAACCAAAGCUAUAUGGUGGAUUUUGGGGUAAAGGUUCGUCAACUAUCUUUGCGGCAAAAUAGAUGAGACCAGGCAAAACUACAUUCCCGUGAGAAUUAGGAAACAUCACACCGAAGAGCCACAACAAAUAUGCAAACAAGUGUCUCUUCGUUGUCUCAGGAUCAGCAUGGGUAGAUAAAAUUUCGAAGUUAAUACGAAGCCAGCUGUGUGGGACACCUCGAGGCGGACCAGAACGAUCUGAUAUGGGCAUUUCGAGCCUCAGACGGGCAGAGACAUCUGCUGGCCAAUUAGGAGAAACUCGUGGAUGUACCACUGGCACACCUCUAAUUGGUAAAGUUGUGAUCAUUGACACAUCUUUUAGAGUAGGUGCAAGCUCUCCACAUCGAAAGUGAAAUGUGUGGGUCUCCGGUCUCCAUCUAUCAACGAGGGAUGUCAAAAGGGAUGGGUCGGCAGUAAAACUACCUCGACGAGCUGCGAUGUUCGCAAAAUGUAGGAGUCCAUAAGCCUCAAGGUGUUCAAGGAACCGAUUCUCUAUUGACCAGGGCGUCUUUACAGUUCGAAGCCGGAAGGUCUGAGGAGGAUUUUCAUGAUUUGGAUUUAUGAAAAGCUGGCAACGGUGGUGGUUGUCGUGAUAACCAUUCAAAAGCUGGGGCAUUUCAGCCAUAACCUGCAAUCACGAUGAAAAAAAUUAAAUAUUCCGAAUAUUACAUCACGAUUAAAUUAAAAUAUAUGUUCCGAAUAUUACAUCACGAUUAAAUUAAAAUACAUGUUCCGAAUAUUACAUCACGAUUAAAUUAAAAUACAUAUUCCGAAUAUUACANNNNNNNNNNNNNNNNNNNNNNNNNNNNNNNNNNNNNNNNNNNNNNNNNNNNNNNNNNNNNNNNNNNNNNNNNNNNNNNNNNNNNNNNNNNNNNNNNNNNNNNNNNNNNNNNNNNNNNNNNNNNNNNNNNNNNNNNNNNNNNNNNNNNNNNNNNNNNNNNNNNNNNNNNNNNNNNNNNNNNNNNNNNNNNNNNNNNNNNNNNNNNNNNNNNNNNNNNNACAUCACGAUUAAAUUAUGAAUACAUAGCAUGAUUACAUAUCACGCAGUGUUGUUGUUACGAUACGGACAGUCCCUACGCGGGUGACCAGCACACCUACAUACGCGGCAUCGCCUUGGUUCUCCCAACUGGCUGUGGUCCAUGUCAUUGCGAUGACGCCUAGACUGACGCCGUCCCUUGCUGGUUCGCAUCAAUGCGGGAUCUGGAACCCAUGUGGUGCCUUCUGGCCAUAAUUGCUUGUAGUUCGUAUCAAUGCCCCAUGCCCAAAGCUCACCGUUCCAAGUGUUAUACAAAUUGUGCAUGUUGAAGUAUGGUGAUACGUACGGCUCGACACUAAUUUGUUGAUCUGCAGCUGCCCGCAAUACGUGACUACAAGGAUAUCCCAGAAGCUUGGGCUUGUUGCAAGUGCACUCAUACGAGGUUGCGCCAAGCGUCACAGCUUGUUUUUUUGCUCCCCUGUGGUGACCCUUCACAAACUUUGCUCGCACACUAACUUCCCAUUUAUUCCUAAGUGCAUCUACCUGCCUGCACCCAUGUCUUUGCGACUUCUUUGCUUUAUCAUCAAGAUGUCUUUGCAUCUUCUCAGACCAGGUCUUGUUCAAAUCAACUAGCGCCUUGGCAACGGUGACUCUAUCUGCAAAGUAUGACACAGUCCGGUUCCAAGUUUCAUCAAUUAGUGCUGUGAUAGGUAGUGCCCUCACCCCUUUAAGAACACCAUUGUACACCUCGGACAUGUUGCUUGUCAUUAUACCGUAUCUAGCGCCAGUGUCAUGAGACUGCGCCCACUUGUACAAAUUGGGACAAUUCUCAUUAAUCCACUGGCUCAAAUUUAUUGCUCUUCGACGACCCCUCCGGUCUUCUCUCGCCUGGAGGGAUGCGCGCUCGAUCUGACCAUUGAUACCUGCCCAGAUAGCACUCAUUUUUGCUGUAGUUUUCUGCAUGCACAUCCUCUUGAAUAGCUUGAACCAAUCUUUGUUUUUGAAUUUUGAAUAAAAGUUAGCUGCCAAAUGCCUCAUGCACCACCUUGUCUCCAGAUCGGGCCACCCCCAAUCUGGAUCUGGUGAAGCCUUAAUUAUCUCAAGCGCGCUUAAUAGUCCGGUGUUGCGAUCAGAGAUGAUGCAAACCCCUUCCCGGUCUUUGAUGACACCCAUCUUCAGGCAACAUAGGAACCAUAGCCAACUAUGUUUGUUUUCGCUCUCCACUAGUGCAUAGGCAAUAGGAAGAAGUUGAUUGUUUGCAUCAGCAGCCAUCGCCACUAAGAGUGUGCCCUUGUACUUUCCUGUGAGAAAUGUACCAUCAAUUGAUACAACCGGACGACAAUGCUUGAAUGCUUGUAUAGUCUGGGCGAAUGCCCAGAAUAAGCGAUCCAGGAUUUGCUCGUCCGGGUUCAAUGGAUUUGGACGUUCUUUCCGGAAAACUUGAGUCCCCCUAUUAGCAACUGAAAUCUGAUGCAGCAUUCUAGGGGCAAAAGAGUACGCCUCCUCAUAGGUUUCAUACAACCUCUGAAAUAUCUUUUCCUUUGCAUGACGAGCCUUGCUAUAGCUGACAGGGAAACCAAUCAGAUCAGAUGCAGUUGCACGCAAAGCCCUAAUACUAAUAUUAAUACUUUGCUGCACAAUGGUUUGCAUCACCUGUGACACAUAUUCUGCAGUCACGUUGCGGUGCUCUGAAAGAGUGCCGGUUUGCUCACAACCAUGUUGCUCUAUUUUUGUGACAUGCCAUGGCUGACAUACCCCAGGCUUCUGGCGAGCAAUAACUCUUCCGCGGCAACCCGCUUCGCGAUGGAUGCAUAUGAGCUUCAACUCCUUUUUAUCAGACUGCUUCACUCUAUGUUGCCUGUGUAUAGCAAUUGCAUAGCUAUGUAUUGCUUGUUUAGCAGAUUUCUUAUCUGGGAAAAUCUGUCCAACGGCCAGACUCCCCGCGUCUAGGCCAGCAACAGAGUGAAAUUCAUUGGUGAUGCUCAUAACCUGUAAAAACUCUGGAUUGAUUGCUGCAGCGACCGCAUUCUCAGGAGGAACAACUUCAUCAUCAUCUGAUUCCGAAGACGCAGAAGAAUGACCAUCAUCGUCAUCAUCUAGCGCCUCCGGCAAUCCCUCGACAUGUUCGCUCAUGUCAACGACCGCAGACCAAUAUCCCGUGUCAUACACUUGAUGGCCACCUGUUGGUUCCGUAGGGCCGGCGUCGGGGGCUACAGUUAUGGCCAUAUGUUCGCCACCGCUUGGUUCCGAUGGGCCGGCGUCGGGGGCUACAGUUGCGGCCAACUCGGCCUCACCGGCACCGCUACUGCACUCGGCGACAUCACUGGCAGAAAUGAACUCCACAUAAACCAUGGGUUGUCCAUACAUGGAGUUAUUGGGAUUGCUUGCAAAACCCAUGUACGACGCCCAUGCUCUUUCACCGGUAACCCGUCGCAAAACCCAACGAUUUCCUCCCUCAACCACGAAAGCCUCCAGGGUCAUUUUUUUUCCAUUCAUCGCUGAACCAAACACCGAUCGGAUGCACCUUCUAACUGCCGCAUACUCUACAUUAACCAUGUCUUUCACUACAACCGUAGUCAUCCCGCACCUAGACACAUCCACACCAGAAGGACCCUCACGUACGAUGUGCCCAUAAAACACUAACAAAUUUUCCAUAGUACCUAACGAGCAGCCAUAUUUACAUCGUUAGUCCAUUAAAAAUCAUAUUUUUAGAUUUACAUUGUAAUAACAACAUCCAUUACUUAUCUUUUUUACAUAUAACAAUUUAACAACAUCCAUUACAUCUACGCAUAAUAAUUUAUAUUGUAUCAUUUAUCGUCACACUACAUCUAUAAAAUAAAUAGAAGAUGAAUUACAAUAUGUCAUUCAUACCUCUGGUUGGCAAAUUACAUACUGCAUAUAUAUAUAUGCGGCAAAAUACAUACUGCAUAUAUAUAUAUAUCACGAAUCAUAUUUCUACGGGGUUGGCAAAUUAUCAAAUAAACAAAUAUAUUACACACGCGUCUUGCAUGUAAUAAUACUAAUGAAGCUAACAUAUUAUUACAUGUUUUUUACAAAAAUGCUAGUUACAUAUGCAUUUCUUCGGCUCCUUUUUAAAUACCAGUUGCAUGCAAACACGAACAAAUCAUCGGUAAUAUAUGAACAUAGUCGACCUAUUAUCACAUGAACACAAAUAUGAACAAAGUCUCAUACCUUGAUCUUCAACUUAGUAGUUCAUAUCGCAUGACAAAAUAGUUCCACAAAAGUGAUAAUACGCUCCCUAAGACAAAAGAAAACACAUACUUAGAAACUAAUCAAACAAAAUAAAAACAUCAUGCAUGCAAACACGACCAACAGAAAUGGAAAGCUCUUACCUUGAUCUAUCUUUUCUUCAACUACAACGUCUUCAAAAUAGUUCCACAAAAGUGAUAAUACGCUCUCUAAGACAAAAGAAAACACAUACUUAGUAACUAAUCAAACAAAAUAAAUACAUCAUGCAUGCAAACACAACCAACAGAUAUGGAAAGCUCUUACCUUGAUCUAUCUUUUCUUCAACUACAACGUCUUCAAAAUCUCACUUUAACCCAUCCCAAAUCGCCACAUAAACAUUCAUACGGAGUGAGAAAGAGAAGAGAGUGAGAAAGAGAAGAGAGUGAGAAAAAGGAGUGACACGGGAGGCAACGACAGGAGAAGAGAGUGAGAGAGGAGGCAGCGACGCGGUUCGCUUAUAAAGGAGUAAAUUUCGCACUGUUUCGUCGGUCGAGAGCGGGAAAAAAUCCCACAGUUCUGCCCGGCCGCGCGGGAAAAAUUCGAGCGGGAAAGAGCAUCGGAAUCAGCGCAAUCAAUCAGCAACAGUGCCGGCGCGCGGAAAAAUGCACCUGGCCGCCUGCUCCCGAGGCGGCAGGGCCCACCCGGCCUUGUCCGUUACGGGCAGGAGGAAUCGGGAACGGAUCCCGCGCUGGCCGCCAGGGGCGGUGGCGGCAGGCCCCGGCCGUCAGAGACGGUGGCGGCAGGCCCCACGGCCGCCUCCUGCGGUGGCGGCAGGUGCCACGUGCCGCCUGGCGCGCCUGCCGCAGCCCGGGUGGGGGUCUUUUUAGCCGUUUGCACUCGCAGGUGGUCUUUUUUGACAAUCCCACUCGACAGGGGGUCCUUUUGGACAAAAAUCCAAGACUACAAGAGGAGAAAAUAUCUUACCAGCCAUACGUCCGGUCCAUCCGUCCAUUCCAGCUUUGACCGCUAUUUCCUCCCUUCACGGCCUUCCCUUUCCUUCCGCUGUCACUCCACUUCACCAUUCCCUCCAUCUCAAGCCAGCUCCAACGCACGCCCCCUAAAUUGUCCGGGUUUGUCCGUUUCGAUUCAAACGAACAAGGAAGACGACCCAACACACAAUCAUAUAAGUAAAGAAAAGUCCGUUUUUAUCCGUCUGGAUGCCUUCGCGGACGCAUUUUUGAUUCGGUUUUACGGUAAAACAGACACGAAACGGGCAUGCAAGCACGCGUCCUCUCGUCGUCCGUCUCAGGCCCGCGUGUCAGCCGUCCAAUUACCUCUGACCGUUCCCAUUUAAUCCACGCGCAUGGGCGGAUCUGUCGGCCAGCCGCCCUUGGCCACAUCCUUUUUUAUGAUGAUGUUGUGAAAUGGUAUGACCACUUCCUCUUUCUCACUCCAUUGCUCCCUUCGUAUCCGAUAUCAAACCCUAAUGCCACCCACCUCUCACCCCGCCUGCCCAUCGUCAUGGGGUUUUGGAAGUGGCAUCCCGGCAAGAAGGGCCGCCAUGACCACGAGGCCGGCUCAUCAACCACCUCACUCGGAAGCGCGGCGAACCUCUCCCUCUCAUUGACGGCAUUCUUCAUCUUCGCUCCGACGGCUUCGGUGCACGAUCGACGGUACAUGAAGGUGGACAUAUGCCGCCGCUACCAUGGUCGGAUGCCCCACCUCCUCAAUAGGUGGCAUCUGAGCCCAAAUCGGGUGUCGAUCCCCUCCGUCCCGGCGAGUGACAGUGACCGCCUGGAGGAGAUCACGUGCCCGCAUCCAGCGGGAGUACCUUGCCGACCCAAGGUACGCAAGACUCGCCGCUCUGGGACACUUGGUUCCAGGAUGAGCAUGACAUGCGCUCACAAACCUACUUUGCCGGUCGUGCUUGUAGUUUGCCUCGCGCGACGCGUUGGCGCGUGCCAAGCCCGCCAGAGUGCGCGGCCGGACUUGUUUCUGCGGUCUGACGUUGACGCCCUCUCCCUCUCCGUCGCCAUCAUUGUCUACGGCUCCCGUCAUGACGAACCAGGAGGAGGAGCGACAGAUUCGAGAGGUCAUGGAAGACUUCGGGCGGGAGUAUAAGCGCCAACAAGAGGAGGAGUGGCAGGGGCUGGAGCAUUUGCUCGCCCUCUCGACCGUCGGCGACGUCUACGUGGCCGUCGACGUACAAGUUGUACGGACAGUCAUGGUCUUGGAUGGCCACGAUGAUAUGCAUCGGGCACAGGUACCGCAGUCGGUGUGGGAGCCGUGGCCACCAGCACCACCGCCACCGCCACCACCGCAUCCUGCACAGGACGUCAACCCUUUAUGAGGCCCGCCACGACGCCACUCCACCACUGGACGCCACCACCGCAUCCUGCACAGGACGUCAACCCUUUAUGGGGCCCGUCACGGCGCCACUCCACCAGUGGACGCCACCACCGCAUCCUGCACAGGACGUCAACCCUUUAUGCGGCCCCCCACGGCGCCACUCCACCACUGGACGCCGCCUUCAUUCAUUGACCGGACCCAAGACAAGUACGACAAGGACGGUGGCGUGUGAAGACGAUGGCGUCUAAGGACAACAUCGUCAGAUUUACGUAUUUUAUAGAUAAUCUAUAUUUAGUUAAGUGCCGGCCGUGAGACUAUCAAGGGAUUGUUUAAUUAUAUUCUUUUAUAUAAGUUUUAAAUUAGUUUGCAAUGCAUUUUUGUGUGUUUUUUGAAAUUUGAAUGUCUUUUUUUUAUUUGAUCCAACGCUAACAAUUUAUGAUAGGGCCGCGUUUUGGGUACUCGGAUCGAUGGACUGGCCAAAUCAGACAUAGACCUCCGUUUUGCCGAUCCAAAUAGAUGAAAUUCGGAUGAAACGGACUUUGGUUUGCGAUCGUGAGUUGGAGUUGGCCUCACCUCACCUUGUGGAUUGGUGCGAGUGAAAUGAAGGCGUGCAUAAGUGCAUUCUCCGGCGAGCCCUGCCGCAUGCAUGCUCACGCGAGGUCAGCGAACAAGGUCUCUGCAUGCAUGCAUGAUUUUUAAAGACCACGAGUUGAACGGGACGCUUGACUGGACCGAGACCGCGAGACGGACGGAGACACGGAGUCCUCCACCUCCAGGAGCACCGACAACCGAGUAGGUAGGUACGUACGUGCGUACGUGUACGCAGCCUCUAAGCUGCUCCGUGGGUCGUGCACGUGACUGCAUAUAUACGACCGAUGCGACCGGCCACGUAUGGAUUAAAGCGAGCCUGCAUCAUGUGACAGCCUUGAUGGCCGGCCGAUGAGGUGUCGCCGUGUCAUCGCUAUCAGGCAGGCAGGCAGCAAAGCGGAUCGAUCGAGCUCCUGGCUACAUCUCGCUGUCCAGUCCAGCUACGUACAUACGGUAUACGUACGUACGUACGUAGCGGCCAACCGGCGAUCCGCUCCAGACCUGUGACCUUCUUCUUUUAGAUGCCAGACUACGUGUGAUCUUGGUCUUCUUUUGUUGAGAGAAGGUCGUGCGAAGGUGCACGCGGCUUUCUACCGCUGGAACGAUAAAUGUGAAGAGGCACAAGAUGAACGCCGAGCGUGUGUGUGUAUGCAGAAAAGGCAGCAGCAGGCCUUGUUGUAGAUGGGGCGGUUGAUGCGAAAGUUAUAACCUGGAAGAAACGAAAAGAAGAUGAAUACACACCACACGGUACGCGAGUGAUGUUGCUUACUGGUAAGCAUCUCACCACUAAUUAAGCGGCUUAUUUAGUUAAGAAAGUUUCGUCAAUGCGUGAAUGCUACGCUGGAGCUGGAUCCUCGACCAAAAGUCGAUGGAAUUACCAGCCGGUCUACGUAGACGUAGCCAUCAGUGGUUGCUCACACGGACGUACACACGCUUGCAUUUGGCUCACUGCAACACGUGGAUGCAUGCCCCACGUGUCUGUCUGUCUGUCUGUCUGUCACGGGCUACAACAGGAAGUGAACGCGCUCGAGAGGUCUCCACGUACGUACACCGGUGCGUUGCUGCUUCGUAUUGCACGUGACCGCCAACACAUGACGAAUGCAGAUAGGGUUCAUGAGACGAAAAAAGGGUAAAAGCGAGUCGACGGAACCCGUGAGAUCUUUCAUGGCCGAUGGAUGAGGCUGUCCGGCCGGCUGAGCUGGAGUGGUUUGCUGCCACGUGGCCACCUAGUGACGAUACAAACUCAACCCGUGCCCUGGGUCCUUUUUUUUUUGUUAGGAUUAAAAUAGCAUUAGGCUGGUUGUAAUGGGGAGUAUCAUAUACUAGUACUCCCUCCGUUUUAAAAUAAGUGUCUUAAACUUAGUACAAAUUUGUAGUAGAGCUUAUCCCAAGUUGAGACAGUUAUUUUGGGACAGAGGGAGUAUCAUGCAUAUGAUACUAGUCUAUGAUACUACAUCCGUAAUGCAUAGUAUCAUAUGUUAGUAUCAUAGAAUAGGUAAUUUAUUGACAUGCAAGACACAAAGUAGCACAACAUUUAAUAUGAUACGGUAUCAUGAUAUGAUACUCAACUUUUGCUUUUUUCAUUUAAUUCUAUGCCACAUCAUCAAAGUUGUCUAGUUGGCAUACAUGAUACUAGCUAUGAUAUUUCCAUUACGACCAGCCUUGAAUUAGGCUAAUCAGACGGUUAGCGAUUUUUUAAAUAUUUUAUCUAACAGUUAGAAUGUUGGCUUUGCUGAUACGCUGUGCAUCUCAAACCCUCGUUAAACGACACGACGCAUCUGUGACCGACAUUGUCAACAUCCGUUCAAGACAUAUAAAUACAUGAAUGAAUCGUAUUUAACAAAAAUCAUUCCAUUCACUUCGGUCUUUCUUCUUCCUCUUCACUUUGUUCGUUGAUGACCGUUCAUACGAUCGAGACGAGAGCGGUUCGGUACUGCCAUGCCAUGCAUACGUCCAUGGCUGUGGACCAAAACCGAACAAGGAUCGUACGAGGCCGAGUAUGUUGGUAUUGCCAUUGCUAGUUGGUUGGGGUGGUUGAUCGGCGAGCCGAAUUUCCCCGUCCCACCAACCGAAUAGGACAAGUCACAUGAGCGUCUGUAAAUAAAUCAACGAAAACGUUCAAACCCUUGUGCAGCCAUUACGGGCAGCCUUAGUGCAUUUCCAACGCUGACGCUCGAUGUCCGGGCGUAUUAUGUCGUUCAAGGCCUUGUAUCGGUCGACGGUAGGAUCAGGUCAUAAUUUCUUCCAUAAAUCAAAAAUAAAUGUGGAGGGCUUUGCAGAAGUUUCGACCGUUGUCGCAUCCGUAUCUGCCUACUUUGAUCCAUCUAAAGCACUCAUUUUCUUGCCUGUGUCUGUUUUCUUUUUCAUUUGGCGUCAGCAGCCUGCAUUCGUGCCGAUUUAGAGUGGUCAUUCUUUAUUGAUGCCGGGCUAAAAUGGACAUGUCAUCUCACUGGCUCUACAAUUGAAGCCAAUAAUGGGCUUGUCCGCCGAUAAACCCACUCAGAUGCCAGACAUUGACGCACCCACACGGCUCGCCUCAUCGGAAUUCGCUAUUUAAAAACGAUGAUAUCCGGUUAACUCCAGGUCACAACAGAAGCUGCUCCACAUUUCCCUUCUUUGCCCCACAUUUUCUAUGACUGCAGGCGGCAACGCUAUCUAGGAGAGCAUUUCAAUAAAGAUGAAGCACGAGGUGACCGCCCUUGCGACAGACUGACAAAGCCGCCGUGUCAGGCGGAUCGAGGCCGGCAUGUCGACCAUCUCGCUCGAGGUCUCCGACGACCCCACGAUGAAGACGGACUCCGACAACAUUGCAUCGGAGCCCGCGCAUGUGCAUGCUGACUUCACCAUAAAGCAGGCGUAGGCGCACUUCAACGCGUCCAUGACGGAGGAGCAGCUUGCGCCAGCACCUAUGUCGGCAUUACAAUAGGGACAUAACGAACAACGGUACAACAUAUUCCUUCUCGACCAGCACCGGCUGGCAGAGGACCAAAUCGACGACGAGUGCACGAGCGAGGAGGUCUUGACAGUCAUGGUUGUGGCAAACCCUAACUUUGUCACGGAGCAGCAUGGGAUCUACGAGGUUGCAUGUGGUCAAUCUUUCGCUCACUAGAAACAGGCGGCCGCGGAGGCCUAACUGCAGGCACCGGUAGAGCUACAACCAAGCAAAACCAUGCUAUAGCAUGUCCAAGUUUAAUGGAAAUAUACUAGGAUAUGAAAGCAAAUGGGGCAUCAGAUUAAAAAGGUUAGACUUCCCUUCAAUUUGGCCAGCCCAGGUUUUAAUGGGUAGCACCACCAUUGACUGCAGGCGAUCGCGGAUGGAAACAAUGCGAGUUGCUCAUCCUACGUGCAUCGUGACAAACUUUCGGGUGGCCCGGCGGGUCAAUGAGGGCAUCGUCGCCUCCAUUUUCAUGGUAGACCUUACGUUCACCUGCAAUGGACAAGGCGCAAACUCCUUAGAUGAUGAAUAGGGCAUGGGAGCCGACGGUGUCUUAUGUCCCAUGUGGAUCGGGUUGUCGGUUAUGUUAUACUCUUCCUCGCAGACGACUGCAUCUUCAUUUCAUCGGUCUUAUGUCGAUGCUCGUGAAAACGGGGGAUGAAGGACGUGGUCCUAGGUAGGGAACAAAAAGGGUUUGGAUGCACGCUAGGUUUAGGGCCGGGUUUUAUUUUUUUGUCCUAAACGUAACGGAAACUCAUCGUCUUUGUAUGAAUCAUGUCCGGCUUAUAUAAAAAGCCGUCGUGUUUGCAUGAAAUUCGUCUAGUUUAUCAAUUAAAAGUGCUUGAAGUGCAUGCUGGCAGCGUAGGUGACCGGCUUCUUAUCCAUGAAUCAUGAUGUCGCUGCAACUAAUUAAUCUGUAGGUCGAUGGAUCGGAGACGACGUGUGCGGAAAACACUGUCGAUGCUGAUGCCGUCGACGGUAAUGAACUAAGGCUGUCCGUAAUGGGAGUAUCAUGCAUGCCAACUAGGCAAUCUCAAUGAGGUGGCAUAGAAUUAAAUAAAGAAAGAGAGGGUAGAGUAUCAUAUCAAGAUAUCGUAUCAUAUUAAAUGAUGUGAUACUAUGUGUCUUGCAUGACAAUAAAUGAACUACUCUAUGAUGAGCAUUUAUUAUCCUCCAAACCCUCCAAUUCAGAACUCGCGUGUGUUGAAGGAGGGGAGUUAAAUAAGAAGAGAGAUGACUAAUCCAUAUUUUAAUAGGAGUACUUGGACUUUAGCCUCUUAAAAAGACUAUUUUUAGUUCCUCUUUAGUUAGGGGUGCUUGGACUUUAACCUCUUAAAAAGACUAAAAUAAGUUUCUUAGAUCCAAACACCCUCGUAGACUAAUAUCAUAUAUAUGAUAUUAAUAUAUGAUACUAUCCAUUACAACCAGCCUAAUUAAAGAAGCAUCACGUGUGCCCGGACCUAUGUGAGCAGCGUGCUCCCCCUAAUUCUGAUUCCGUCGGCCCUGUUCACAAGCGAAGCGAACCAGCGCCGACGGCGACCAAGACUCCACCGGAAGACUUCUUCCUCUUCCCGUUUGUGUGGCCGGCCUUCCCACUUGCGCUUGCGGCUGCUCUCCUCCUCUCCCUUUCGUUCGUCAGUAGGUGAGCGUCGACACAAGACUAGACUACAAGAGGAGAGAAUAUCUCUUACUAUCAGCCAGCCAGGAUGAAGCCCCGUACGUGACAACCUUCAUUGCCGUGCGACGAGGUGUCGCCGGCCGUGUCAGCCAGGCACGCAGCAAAUCGGAUCCAUGCAUGGAGCCACUGGCUGGCUAGCUUUUUUUUUUCAAAAAGAAGGCAUUGCCCCUGAAUGAUGCAUGCAAUUAUUUAUUAAGUACUGAAACAGUUCAAAAGAAGUAUAAAGUAGAUUGAAAAACUGCGAGAAGAAACUACAUGACGACCAACGCCAAAACCGAUGAUAUAAAUAGGCGUAGUUGACUGGCUGGCUAGCUAGAUCUCGCUCUACAGCUGUGGUUGGGUCGCCAGACGUACAGUAUCAGUACAGUAUGUACCCUUUUAUUUUAUUUUUUGAACAGUCCACUCCAACCUGUGAUCUGUAUUCACUCCAACAUGUGAUAUGGGUAUCCAUUUCUUGAGACAGAGAGAGAGGAGUGAGAGAAGAUGGUACGAAGGUGCACGCGGCUUUCGGGUGCUGGAACGAUGAAGGAGUGUGAAGACGCAGAAGAUGGAUGCGGAGUGUGUGUAAUUUUAUGCAGAAAAGGCAGCAGCUAGCCUAGUUGUGGUUGGGGUGGUUUGAUGGGCGAACCGAAAUUCUCCCCUCCAACCAACCAACCAACCAACCCCACCGUCGUGCUGCAAGUGUAACCUAGAAGGUACAAAAAGGAGGGGGUGACUACACACGGGACGCGAGUGCGCUGUUUACUGGUAAGCAUCACACUAAUUAACCAUCACAGAGCUGCUUAAUAAUUAGUACGUACAAGUUAAUAAAGUAGUUUUGUCAGAGCGUGAAUGCCAGGCAAAAUGGACACAAUUAACUUGGAAGACGCGCACUCGCCUAAUCAUUUUGUAUGGCGCUGACAGCAUGACGCCACAAUAUGAGGGUGUUUGUUUUCAGAGACUGGUUGGUUUAGGGACUUAAAAAAGUCUCUAUAAGUCCCACCUAAACCAAACACAAGGGACUUAUUGUGGUGAUUUGGGACUUAUCAAAUAAGACUUUCAGGGAGGAGCUUAUUGGAACUUAUCCCGGGCCGGACCUACCCAGCGUCGCUCCAGGCUCGUUCCCCGCACGCCGCCCCGCCUCUCGGUCCAAUCGCCGCCGCCGCCCCGCCUCUCGCCCCGUCGCCGCCCCGCCUCUCGCUCCGGUCGCCGCCCCGCCUCUCGCCCCGCCUCUCGCUCCGGUCGCCACCCCGCCUCGGUUCGCCGCCCCGUCGCCGCCCUGCCUCGGUUCGUUGCAGCGGUGCCUCCAAUCGCCGGACAGGCCCUCUCCUGAGCCUCGCUGCAGUGGUGCUUAUCAUGUGUGCCGUACGCGUUGGCUGAUGACGAUCCAUGUGAACAAGUGUAUUAUUAGGUGCAACAUGGACUUAUAAGUCCAUGUAAACAAACAGGUAGGGACUCGGAACUUAUAAGUUGGGACUUAAAAAAGUCCUAGGACUUAUGAAACAAACAGGGUCUAUAUUAUGUGACACCCGAGGUUAAGGCGUUGCACCUCCGACCAUGCUGACAGCCUGUGGCAGGGCCGGCUCCACCCCCUCCCCCCCUCCCCGCGGAGUGUGACGUCUAAGACAAAGACGACACACUUGCAUUGUGUGGUGCCUAGCCAUUAGGCGCCACACUUUCAAUUAUACAUCCGCGGGCCGGCCCUCCCCCCUCCCAUCCCAUUCAUCCCCACCCAACAAGAACAACGAGAGCAUGGCGGCUAGGGUUCGUCCGCCCUCACCAAAUCCCUCCCUCCCCCCACCAAAUCCGGAGGAAAUCUGUGGGGAUUUCAUCCCUAAGGCAUGCAUAGGUUUUUUUUUUCCUUCGAUCCCUUACUUUUCAUCCGUAAAAUCCAUCUCAUUUCUCCCUUUUUUUUACUCUCUUCGGUUUAAGUUAGGUCCUAUUUGAUUUUGAAUGUGUUAUGGCAAAAUGACAUGAUUCUUUGAUGUGUAGCAUUAGCAUACAUAUAGUAAUCACUUAUGAAAAUAUAGAUGGUUAAUUUUGGUAGAAACAAAUGUAAUAGGAACAUAUGUGUACAGAUAGGACAAACAGAACAUAUUUUCAAUAUUAGUUCAUAUUAGCGUUCGUAUAUUAUUUGUUUUGAUAUUUUUUCUACUAGCAUUGAUAAAUUAUUUGUUUCAAUAUUUGUUUGUAGUAGGGACAUAUUGGUUCAUCUUUGGCCAUUAUGUGUAUGAGAUAUAUAGGAUGAAAUAUAUAGGAUGGUGUGCCUUUUGGAUGAUUUCUAUGACGUUGAACACGAGGCCUAUUUGAUGUUGGAGAAGGGGGUGAUAGUGAGAGCAUAAUAGUUGGUAGUUUAUAUCUGGUGUUUAUUUGAAAAGAUCAAACUGUAAUCAUCACCAUACACUUUAUUUUUUUUAGAUGAAUAAGAAGUUUAACAUCUCCUAAUAUUGACACCUCUUUGAACUAAUAAUAAUACACUCACACCUUUUUCAUAUCACCACAUCAAUAUUAUUAACCCAUAAUUUCGCUAUGUCUGCUAUAUGAUGGUUUUAAUUAACACUCAUUGACUACCCGUUAUUUUCAUCUAGUCUUAUGACCCAUGCAAAUUAUCAUCACUAUUUAUCUAACUCCCAAACAAAUAUAAGUGAAGAACAAGAGCAUAAUAUUCCUAUAAAAUCUACACGCCACCGUGCUAAAAAAGAUAUAAGUGAAAUGUUAGAGCAAAUGCUAAGCUCAAAAGAUAUAAGUGAAACAGAUAGAUUACUACAGUCUGUAGUAAUCUGUAAUGAACCUAUACUUCUAUAACUUCAAAAAUGCUGAAAAGUUAGGAUGACCCGAGGAAUAUGUAUAGCAAUAUUGUGUUAAAAAGGCAGCUUAAAAAGACGUUCCAGUAAAAUCAGAGAAUUCUUCAUUGGACGCCAAAGUUUCUAUUUUUUGCACCGUAUCUAUUCUACUCAUCAUGCAAAUCACCCCAAAGGAUUUACUUGGCACAAACACUAAUUAAAACAUAAAAACACAAUCAUUACAAAUGCAAUAAUCAUGUUAUCACAAAAAAAAGAAGUAAAUAAGCAAAAAUAAAGAUAACUAUUGGGUUGCCUCCCAACAAGCGAUAUUGUUUCACGCUCUUAGCUAGGCAUAUUGCAUAGUUUAAAGUAUUGUCAUCUCUGUAAGAAUGACACAUCAUGCUAUAAUCAUAUUCCCUUCUUUCAACAGCAAGCUUUCUGAUAGGUAAGCAAAAAUAAUUGAAGGGACUAAAUAGUGCAACAUUAGGAUCUGAAAGGUCUACUUUGGGAGGAACAUGAGGCUCUUCCUUGGGUUUUUGAUAAGUGAUAGUUAGUUCCUCAUUGUAUAAAUUUCUAUGGAGGUAUUUCCUUAAUUUUGUUUGAAUCUCAUAAUCCAAUCCAAGUUUUGAUAUAGCAAAUUGAUCAUUGUGUUUAGAAAUCUUAUCAACCAGAACAUUAAGGGGUACCAUCUUUCUAAGGUUCUGAUCAUAAGCAACAUAGUCCGUGGAUCUUAGUUUUCUUAUUUCUUCUAACUCGUAAAGAAUUUCCUCUAUGGGUGGGCACUCACCGUUAACCCUAUAAUGAGAAAAUAUAUCCCUAGCUUCUUGUAUGAUAUUACUAAAUUUUUGACAAAGGAAUAUUGUUGCUAGACAUUUAGUGGAAGCUUCAUGGAUAUUAGAGAAUUCUAGGAACAAUCAUUGUAUAAAAGGAUGCAUGUGCACAAAUUGUCUCUCCAACUGUGUUAUAAGCAAAGAUAUUGCAUCCGCAUAACUAGUAGUUCUAGCAACCAAUAGAACCUCCUAUAAAAGGUAAUGAUCCCGCACAAGUGAAAAAAUCUUGGAUCACACUCUUUCCAAUAAUAUUACCAUUUCCUAUGCGGAGUGUCCUAGUUUGCAUAAUAGGUUCCACCUUAGGAGGAUCAUCAUUCGCAAGAUUAUCAAGUUUUUCAUUAGCAACUUCAUCGAAAUUUCUUUUAGCAUUCUCAUAGCAAGGUGAAGUUGUCAACUCAAGGGUUUCCGCACUAGAGGCGGAAACUUCACUAAUUUCAAACUCAGACAUGAUAGCAACUUUCAAGCAACCUAGAGAGCGAAGAUGCAAUCUAGUGAUAAGCUAAGUAAGCGAAGAUAAAUAUUUUUGUAUUUUUAUUUUUUUAUGAGACAAACUAAAUAUACCAGCAAAUAAAAAGAGGAACCAGUGAAUGAAAUUUUAUGUGGAGUUACUUGGUAGUUUGGUGAUGAUAUUCCUCGGCAACGGCGUCAGAAAUCCUUCCUGGUACUUGUGAUCUGCAUUGGGUUUUCCGUAAAGAGGAACAUGUAAUCACAUCACAAUGUGGGUAAGUAUUUCCUUUAGUAUGAAACCAAGGUUUAUCGAACCAAUAUAAAUAUCAAUCACAACCAUCUUUAGCUGCUGCACACAAAAGAACAAACAACUUGCAUCCAACGUGGGCAAGAGGGUCGUCAAUCAUCUUGCCUUGUUAUUUGCAAGCAAGUGAGGUGUGUAGAUAAUUGUAGAUAGAAAGAUAAAAUAAAAACAAGCAAAUGGCAGCAAGGUAAUGAAGGUUUUAUCAGUAUGUUGUCAAUAGACCCCGGUGCCAUAGCUUUCCCUAAUUGCAUCUCUCAUGAAAAAAUAACUUAUGGUGGGUAAACAAAUUACUGUUGGUCAAUUGACAGAAAAGCGGAUAGUUAUGCGGUAUCCACGGCAAUGAUCAUGUGUAUAUAGGCAUCACAUCCAAAAACAAAUAGGCCGACUCCUUCCUGCACCCAUUACUAUUACUCCACUCAUCGACCGCUAUCCAGCAUGCAUCUAGAGUAUUAAGUAAAAUAAAGUAAUGCAUGGAGAAGAAUGACAUGAUGUAGACAAAGCAAACUCAAGCUAUAUGAUGAAACCCCAUCGUUUUAUCGUCAGUAGCAGCAACACAAAGACGCAUCUUGUCCCCUUCUGUCACUGGGAUAUAGGAAUUCGCCAGGUUGAACCUACCACAACGCACCUCUCUCACCGAAGAAAUAUCAAUCUAGUUGGCCAAACUAUUUCAAUAAAGUUGAGAGAUUUACGAAGCUAUCAUAAUCAUGCACAUAAGAAUCAUAUAAGUAUUCAAAGGAGACUCAAAUAUUUAUCAAGAGAGACUCAAAUAUUUAUCAAGAAUAAUCUGAACAUAAACCCACAAUUCAUCAGAUCCCAAAAAACACACCACAUAAAAGGAACUACAUCAUAUGGAUCAAAGCAAAGAUGCAACGAUCAUUGUAUUGAAGAUCGAAGAGAGAGAGAGAGAUUGCCAUCUAGGUACUGGCCAUGGACUCGUAGGUCUAUGGUGAACUAGUCACACAUCAUCAUGAGGGUAGCAAGGUCGAUGAAGAGGUCCUCCGUGAUUGAUCCACCCUCCGGCAGGGUGCCAGAAUGGAGCUCCAGAUGGCCUCCCAUCGAAAGAGAGACUUGCGGUGGCGUAAAAAAUGUUUCCGGACUCCCUCGGAUGUUUUUAGGGUAUAAAAUAAUUUAUAAGCCAGAGAACGGAGUCGGGAGGGUCACGAGGGAGGCACAGGCCACAGGGCACCCCCGAGGGCGCGCCUUAUUGGUUUGUGGGCCCCUCAUGCGGCCUCCAGCCUUUUCGAUACUCCUCGGUCUUCUUUUGGUUCAGAAAAAAUCAUCAAAAAGUUUCAGGUUAAUUAGGCUUCGUUUGGUAUGAAAACCCUGAAAAGUGAAAAACAUGCAGAAAACAACAACUGACACUGGGCACUGGGUCAAUAGAUUAGUGCUCAAAAAUAAUAUAAAUUGAUAAAUAAAUUCCCCAAAAGUAUUCUAAAAUGACAAUAUAUCAGCAUGGAACAAUAAAAAUUUAUAGAUACAUUGGACGUAUCAACGGCUAGCACACUAGCGAGCCUUCAAAAUGGACAGCGAUCGCUACCGAGGUCUCAUGUAGUUCAGACCGUCGUGAGCGAACACAUCUCCCUCUGCCGGUUUGCGAACCAAGCCUUCCUCUCCGGUGACAUGUUGUUCUUGCCGACGCUCAUGGAGGCAAGUGCCACCUCUUUUGUUCUGUUCUCGACAUUGGUGGCUUCGAUCUCAAGUUUCUUUAGUUGGUCGGCCUUCUCGAUGCCAAGCUUCCUCCUCUGCACGACCUCCUUCAUCUCAAACUUCUUCGUUUGAAGGUCUAGGUACAUGUUCAUUUGUUCCUCCUUUCCUUUGCUCCUCCUCUCUUCCCCAACUUCCUUUUGGCUCAUCAUGUUGUCUAAUGUUCUUCCUUGCAAGGCUAUAGAAGUCGCACCACGCUUCUCCUCGGCCUUUGAGCUUGCCUUCUCCCUCGACGGUGACGUAGCCUUCUUCUCCCUGUCCUUGUUACGUUGGUUCCUCCUCUUGGUCGAUUCGGCGUCGAGCUUGGCAAGCUUCGCCGACGUGAGAUUCAGGAGCCUUCUUCGCCGCGGGGCGCGCGAGCGCUGCCGGGUCGCUAGGAUUCAUCGGGUCAUCAACCAUGAUGGAGGGAGGAGAGGAGAGAGGGGCGCGGAAGAGUUUUAAGCAAAAUAAAAGAAAAGUGGAGUGAUCGUGUCACCGACAGACGGGCCACGAGAAGGACAAGGACGCAUGUCCGUUCAACCGCAAACGCGGACUAAAAUUAAAUCGAAAAUGAAUCGAAAGCACACCAGAAACAAACAUUGAUCCGUUCGCCCCCGUGCAUUGAAGAGCCUUUUCUGCUCAUUUACUUCCAAACGAACGUGGACGGUUGUGCGUUGAAGUUGGCCUGAUGCCGGCGGCAUCCCCACCCGGCGCUCGUGCUCCUCCUGAGAUCGCGUCAGCCGGCCAGCCAGCCUCGCUGUUCGUUGCCCCACACGUUCACAGGCCAGACAACGGCGGCGACGACCAAGACCCACCCCGACUACUCUACUCCUUCCAACUCCUGAGAAAAUUCUUCGUCUUCUUCCUCCUCCCCCUCCCCCNNNNNNNNNNNNNNNNNNNNNNNNNNNNNNNNNNNNNNNNNNNNNNNNNNNNNNNNNNNNNNNNNNNNNNNNNNNNNNNNNNNNNNNNNNNNNNNNNNNNNNNNNNNNNNNNNNNNNNNNNNNNNNNNUCCCCCUCCCCCUCCCCUUCCCCACUUGCGCGGCAGCCAGGGCCAGGUCCAGCCGUCCACCCCCCCUUGCACCUCCUUCCUCACCUCACUAGGUGGUGAGAGCGAGAGGCGGCACACACCAGCCCUGCUUUCUUUGACCGGGCUGCUCCCUUCCCUUUCCCUCCGCCGUCAGUCCACUCCACCGUCUCCUCCCCACCUCCCGCCUUUGCGGGCACCGCGAACGCGCGCGCGUGCGCCUCUCAUCGCCAUCCUCUCCCCCCCUUUCCCCCUCGCUUCCCUUCCUCUCCUUCCUGCCCGGAUCGGACCCACGGCCCCGAGGACUCGUGCUGCCGCUCCUGCUCCUGCUGCCGGGGCCUCCCUCCCCUCGUCGCCGGCCGCCGGCUUUGUCGACCAACCGCGCCGCGCCGCACCCGAGGUUCGUCGCCGCAACUCAUCCUCUCUACUCUCUGCCCUCGCCUCUGCUCCCCUGUGCUCUGUCAUCCUUCCAUGGCCUGAGAUUCGACGCGGUUCGGCUUAAUCGCGGUCUCGCCUUCCCACCUUCCCUCGUCCGCGCUUCGGAUUAACUAGCAGAGGUUUGAUUACUAGUUGGAUUGGAUCACCAUGCCUAGUGUUUGUACAGUUUAAUUCGGUGUGAAAUCAAGGUUUGGGCUUCUAGUAGCAAGAUGGCGUGACGAGAUUCUGCCUGAAGAAAAACCAGCAGUUUCAGUUCAGAAUUCUGCAUCCCUUCUUGCCUGACGACACAACUCUGCUUCCCAAACCCGAAUUUUCACUCGGUACAGUCUUUAGAUUUUAAUUUUGUGAUGAUGAUGAUGAUGAUGCUUCAACGAAGCACAGAUCAAGGGUUCACUCGCUCCUAAUUCCUAAAUGUUUCCCCUUACCAACUAACUGACUGAAUCCCCGCCGCACUCCAUUGCAGAGGGGGCGAUGAGGUGCCUGCCGUUCCUGCACGGGGACGCCAAGGAGGGGGACGACGACGACCAGCGCACGGGGCCCAGCACCGCCGCCAUGUCGGCCUCCGUGCGCUCCUUCAGCACCACCACCUCCACGGAGCGCGACAACCCGCGCUCCGGCUCCGACCUCAACUCCAUCAACGUCUCCGACAUGAGCGCCGAGUCCAUACGCCGGACGCAGUACCCCAGCUUCACCGACCGCCCCGCCAACCUCCGGGUCUUCUCAUUCUCCGAGCUCAAGGCCGCCACCCGCAACUUCAGCCGCUCCCUCAUGGUCGGCGAGGGCGGCUUCGGCUGCGUCUACAGAGGGGUCAUCAAGGGCUCCGACGACCCCGCCCAGCGCGUCGAGAUCGCCGUCAAGCAGCUCAAUCGCAAGGGGGUUCAGGCAAGUUCUCUCUUCACUGUCAUGUACUGUACUGCUUGACAGUCAUAUGUAGCAUACGCACACUGUAUAUAUAUAUAUCUUACAGUGAGAGUGAAUCCACUUUUGUGCAAUACAAAAGAGGAUUUAUACCUCAUUCAGAACAACAAAUGUGAUUUGGACUUGGUUCUGCAUCUUUCAAACUCGGCAUCUUCAAACUUAUCCAGGAAUCCUGAACUACUUACUUAUUUCUUAAGGGAACAAACCAUUCAGUAGAUCCUGAUUGCUUCGGGAAAUGCGGUGUAGUUUAUACUUGUUAAAUUCCUUGCAUUCACAUUCCAUGUAUUAUCAUACUUGCAUGUUGUUCUAGUUUAGCCUAGGGUGUAGUGAGUCAACUAGUGCCGGCAUAUAAGAACAACAACAGCUAACUGAAGUUGUAAACAAAGCAUACCAGUACUCGAUCAAACCACCGAGCAUAUUAUUCCAGCAUUUCAGUUCCACUUGCCAGAUGAGUCCCUCCUAAGGCACUUGCACUGAAAUCUAGCUUCAGCCACUAGUUUGGGGUUCCUAAUAUAUUAUUCAUCUUUCUUCAGGGGCAGAAGGAAUGGUUAACAGAAAUGAACGUGCUUGGGAUUGUUGAGCACCCAAACCUUGUCAAACUAAUAGGUUACUGUGCGGACGACGAUGAGCGAGGGAUGCAGCGGCUUCUGGUAUACGAAUACAUGCCCAACGGAAGCGUGGAUGACCACUUGGCAAGUAGGUCAACUUCAACUCUGUCAUGGCCAAUGAGAUUGAAAGUGGCUCUCGAUGCUGCCCGCGGGCUCAAGUAUCUGCACGAAGAGAUGGACUUUCAGGUAGUUCAUUUGCUUUCUGCUGAUCAGUACUAAAACUUAAUGAAUGUGAAACAUUUGUGUGCUAUUAGCAUCACUGCUUAACUACAUUCAGUAAAAUAGUAACAGAUGCAAGUUGCAGUCUAUUUAGCUAUUUCAAUAUGCUUGCAGGUUAUUUUCCGGGACUUGAAAACAUCUAACAUUCUAUUAGAUGAGAACUGGAAUGCAAAAUUAUCGGACUUCGGAUUGGCUAGGCAUGGACCACAGGAAGGGCUAUCCCAUGUCUCCACAGCGGUACGCACAUCUAUGGACCUAGAAUUAUUUUACAUUAAUGUGCUCUGACAGCAUUCUGUUCCAUAUUCUUUAAAAUUACUAGUCUUGCAAAAUUUACGAUGUUCUAAAGAUGUGGAUACUCAUGGUGCCAAGACGGUUUUUUUCUAUAACACGGUUCCCUUUUGAUAGCAAUGAAGUUGGAAUUGGAAAAUGGAUACCCAGUUGCUCCACCUCAAAUGGUAUAAUUGUGUCGGUGUAUGCUAUUGAUGCUUAAAUGUGUACGCUUUAGUUUCUGAAGUGCUCCACAAUCAAAUUCUUAAAUUUUCAAGAAUUACAAAGGAGUGAAUACUUGAGCUUGAAUAAGCAUCAAUGACAGCUACAGCCAUAGCAGCUUCAGAAUGCACCUCUUUUUUUUUUCAUAGAAAGCCAUAUCUACAAGUAACAAGAGUGGUGAUUUUGUGCGCUUGCCUAAGCUGGACAAUUUGACAAAGAAUCUGCUGGACAUAUAUUACCAUGUCUUACAAACAACAACAACAACCAAGCCUUUCAGUCCCAAACAAGUUGGGGUAGGCUAGAGUUGAAACCCAUAAGAUCUCGAAGCCAAGUCAUGGCUCUGGAACGUGGAUAGCUAACUUCCACGCACCCCUGUCCAUGGCUAAGUCUUUGUCGAUAUUCCAAACCUUCAGGUCUCUCUUAACGGACUCCUCCCAUGUCAAGUUUGGCCUACCACGACCCCUCUUAACAUUCUCAGCACGCUUUAUCCGUCCGCUAUGCACCGGCGCUUCCGGUGGCCUCCGUUGAAUAUGUCCAAACCAUCUGAGACGAUGCUGGACCAACUUCUCUUCAAUCGGUGCUACCCCAAGUCUCUCUCGUAUAUCGUCAUUCCGUACCCGAUCCUUCCUUGUGUGGCCACAUAUCCAUCUCAACAUGCGCAUCUCUGCUACACCUAACUGUUGGAUAUGGCCAACACUCCGCGCCAUACAACAUCGCAGGUCGGAUAGCUGUCCUAUAAAACCUGCCCUUUAGCUUUUGUGGCACUCUCUUGUCACAGAGUACGCCAGAAGCUUGGCGCCACUUCGUCCACCCAGCCUCGAUUCGGUGGCCCACGUCUUCAUCGAUAUCGCCAUCCUUCUGCAACAUGGACCCCAAAUAUCGAAACGUGUCUCUCUCCGGUACCACCUGCCCACCAAGGCUAACCUCUCCAUCCUCGUGCCUAGUAGCACUAAAACUGCACCUCAUGUAUUCAGUUUUAGUUCUACUAAGCCUAAAACCUUUAGAUUCUAGAGUCCGCCUCCAUAACUCUAACUUUCUAUUAACCCCCGUUCGGCUAUCAUCGACUAGCACCACAUCAUCCGCAAAGAGCAUACACCAUGGGAUAUAUUACCAUGUCUUAAUUGAACUAUUAUUCUGUUAGGAAGAUAUUAAUUUGGGCAUAGAGUACAGACCCUGGUUUCAAUAAAAAAUGGUAUUUUGCACAAAAGACAACCAUGUCAUUUCUUUUUAUGACAGAUGGGUCCAACUGUGUGAGGCUAAGCUGUACCUCUACCUGUGCACUGCCACCUAGAGCUCCCCUAAAGUGCUUGCUUUANNNNNNNNNNNNNNNNNNNNNNNNNNNNNNNNNNNNNNNNNNNNNNNNNNNNNNNNNNNNNNNNNNNNNNNNNNNNNNNNNNNNNNNNNNNNNNNNNNNNNNNNNNNNNNNNNNNNNNNNNNNNNNNNNNNNNNNNNNNNNNNNNNNNNNNNNNNNNNNNNCCCCCCCCCCCCCCCACACACACACACAUGAAAGUUGUAGAAGAUUCUCCAUGCACUAGUUUUAUGAAGUUUGUUCUCUUCUUUGCCACUUUGUUUAGUUCCGAUAACUUUUCCUAGAACAUGGUUCCUUUUUUUAUAGCAAUGACGUUGGAAAUGGAUACCCAGUUGNNNNNNNNNNNNNNNNNNNNNNNNNNNNNNNNNNNNNNNNNNNNNNNNNNNNNNNNNNNNNNNNNNNNNNNNNNNNNNNNNNNNNNNNNNNNNNNNNNNNNNNNNNNNNNNNNNNNNNNNNNNNNNNNNNAAAUGGAUACCCAGUUGCUCCACCUCAAAUGGUAUAGUUGUUUCAGUACAUGGCUAUUGAUGUUUAAAUGCAUAUGUUUUAGUUUCUGAAGUGCUCAACAAUCAUGUUCUUAUUUUUUCGAGAAUUACAACUGAAGUCCUAGAAAGGAGCGAGUACUUCAGCCUGAAGCGUUAAUCGGAACUAUAUACGUUUCCUGUGGCAGCUUCAGAAUGCAGCACUAGCCAAAAUGACGUCUAUUAAAGAAAUCACAUUUCUCUUCUUCAGAUAAAGCCAACUGCACAUACAAGUAACAAGAAUUCGGUUUUAAAGUAUUCAUCCUAAGUUCCUAACUACCAUAACAACUAGGGUGAUUUUACACGCUUUGCUGCGCCAGAGUUUUUUGCAAAGAACUUGUUGCACAUAUGUUGACAUGUCAACUAAACUAUUAUUUUGUUAGGAGACAUUGGUUUAGUUAUACCCUGGUUUCAUUAAGAAUAGAUUUUGCACAAAAGAAAACCAUAUUGUUUCUUUUUAUGACACAUGGAUCCCACUAUGUGAGGCCUAGCAAUAGCUACAUAUGCACUGCUACCUGGUGCCCCCCUAAAGUGCUUGCUUUAGAAAUCGUAUGAGAUUCUCCAUGUAAUAAUUUUAUGAAUUUCAUUCUCCUCUUGCCAUUUUUUUAGUUCCUUUUUAAAGAAGAUUUUGUUCAGUUUCUAAUACAACUUUGAACUUGAUGCAUCUGUAAUCUGUUCAACUAAACUAACAUGUUAAGUACUUAUGGUUCCACAGGUUGUUGGAACUCUAGGAUACGCCGCGCCGGAGUACAUGCAAACCGGACGCCUGACUGCAAAAAGCGACAUAUGGGGCUAUGGUGUGCUCCUCUACGAGCUCAUCACCGGCCGGCGUCCCAUUGACAGGAACCGCCCAAAGAGCGAGCAGAAGCUCCUGGACUGGGUGAAACCGUACAUCUCCGAUGUCAAACGGUUCCCCAUCAUCGUCGACCCGCGGCUCGAGGGCCACUACAACCUCAAGUCCAUGACAAAGUUGGCCGGUGUGGCGAACCGCUGCCUCCUCCGGAUGCCCAAGUCGCGCCCAAAGAUGAGCGAGGUGUAUGAGAUGGUGCAGAAGAUCGUCGACAGCGUCGAGAUCGGCCCGCCGGAGCCUCCCCUGCACUACCACGGCUCGGUCUCCGGGCCGGGCGCGAAGCGGACCAAGAAAGGGUCAUUGAAGAGGAGGCUCCAGGAGUUCAAGUUCGGGUGCCGCCAGAUCGUGUGGCGGGGCUGGAAACCAGAGAUCAUAAAGACCUGCUGAAAUGGAUGCCACCACCCUCCUGCCUGUGACUGUAAGUAUGGCUAGCUGUUCAUAGAGAUAUGAAGUUCGUAACCGGUGCACGGUUUGCGCUGCAGCGUGUAACUUUUUUGGUCCUGUAGAUUUCUGAUUAAACAGUCUUUUGUUUGUGUAUUACCCUGGUCUGAGCUGCAAGAUUGUGAAUCAGUAGGUUGCUUGUGAUUUUGGUCCAGUUUCAGCUCUUCCAUCUUGUGCACGCUACUAAUCUAGUUUGUGCACAACUUAAAACUUUCCGUCUUUUUUCUCAAGAACUACUGAAAACCUGUCAUUUUUCAUGUGGAAAGGGUUGUGUGCAGGGAGCCAGGGAAUUGUCAAUUCAGAUUCAGGCAAGAUGUGACCUGAGCCAGUGGAUUUCUGCCAACCAAUCGGAGGAUGUGCCUUAUCGGAGAAUGAUCUGAAUAUCUGAUGCUGGGUGGUACAUCCCUGCCGGCCAUUCUUUUGCCCAGAUAAGACCCAGACCCAGAUGCUCACAUCAGAAAGAGACCCCUUGGUGCAACUGGGAGAAUUUCUUGGUGGUAGCAGCACAUGGAUAGGGGGGAGGCUACAAUCGACGUUUUGAUCGGACGGUCGAUCUUCGCGACCGAUCCUUGUUACCAGACAUGAUGAUCAAAUCUCCGCCGCAAAUAACCCAGCAAAGGUUCAUUUCUGGUGGUGAAUUCUCGCCGGAGGAAAAGGAAAAAGAGUUGCUGGUGCCGGUCUCAUUCUGCUGUUCCCCUGUAGCUGUAGCCUGUAGAUUGUGCUGUUGGCUGGAGGCAGAGAAAUUCUGUUCUUUCUGCACCGUGAACACUUUCCAUUCCAUUUCAUCAUCAGAACACAUCUCCUUCCUGCCCAACUUAACUUUUCUCCGGCGACAUGGUGCAUAUGUGGGUGGGGAGCAGAAUUGGAGGCAGAUCAUCUUCAUGUGACGGGCAGCAACUGUAGGGCUGCUUUCGGUCUCGAAUCGGACGUCCGAUUCGCCUGUCGACGACGAAGAAUCGACGGAAGCAGAGAAGAGGAGGUGAGGUGAGGUGAGGUCCAUCUCAUCUUCUGACAUCUCAUAUGCCUUGUCAAGGCCAACACCAUGCACCCCUGCCUGCCUGAUGCCUAUCAUCUUCAGAGAUUAGCACAUGGUUUGCGUGACGGUGGUGCAUCAUGUUCAGAAAAUCAGGUGCAGAGUAUGUGUGACAUGUAGACCGGAUGGUGAUCCGCCGGACCUGUCACAUGGUUUGCCAUUGGCAGCCACUGCUUUGUGCCAGUCGCCACCGAUGGCGAGGGCUACCUGCCAUGAAAUCCGGCACCAUUCAUGCAGUUCCUUUCCCUCAGUAGUUUAUGGCUUUUUCUUCGCCCUUAGAAAGUUUCGAGUUAAAAACCGUCCGGAGGUCACCAAAUUUGUUAGGUUCUGAAGAAAGUGAAGAAUUUCCGCUUCUCGGUCCAAUCGCCGCCGUCCCGCCCCGCAACGCCGGCCGUUUCUCGUCAUCGGCCUUGGAUGUUUCUUCGUGUUAUUAUUACUAUAUAUACUUUUUCUUUUUCAUUCUGAACCAAAAAAAAAUUCACAUCGACAUGAACACAGUGAGGCCAUUCUCAUCCAGCAUUAGGAACGGGACGGGUGAGGUGAUGCCGGCCGUGUCGGAUCCAAGUCACCGUGACUAAGAUCGGUCUCUCUGUGACCCUACGUCCAUUCAUUAAUUAUUAGCUUCAUUAUGAUUUUUUUUUUCAUUUCUAUAUGGUUUCUUUUCAUGGCCUAACAAUCGGUCUCCCUCGUGGAGCAGUGCAGAUACGGUCAUGCGGUUCGAACUGAAUUUGUUAUUUUUGAACGAGCAGAAACACUUGCUCGUGCAUCUACGUAGUCAGCAAUAAUAAGAAGAAAAAAACAUGUGACUCUUGCGCCACGUGUGAAGUGAUCAUGGAGGUUUUUCUUUCUGAUCUUGCAACCAGAGCGCGGCGCACGCAAAAAUUAUUGAACGUUGCUUUGGUAUCUGUCUCCCAUGACCGGUGACGAACGAUCGAAAGAGAUGCCUAAAUGAUAAACAGAAAGGGAAGUAUAUGAAUAACUAAGGAAGAGGACGGUAUGCCGCAAGCAUUCAUAUAGAAGAAACAAAAAAUAAAUGAUUUCCCGUCCUCGAGAAGCCGUCUACUAGUAUGUAUAUGCGAUAAGAACAUCCGUAUCGCUAGGUGUUAAGCAGAAGCUAAAUGUGUGAUGGUCUGUCCGAAACUGAAGUCGAGAUCGGCCCUUGGGGUAUAUGAAAGAGGACAGAAGCUUAUAUGUUACAAUUCUUGCUUCAUCUUAACUUCUACGCAUUAUUUUUAGAUAAGUUACCUAACAGUGUCUUACGUCUCAACUUCCAUGUGCUUCCAUGAAUGGAAUAGAAGUGAAAAAAAAGAUUCAUAUGGAAGAGACCAAAGUGGUGUGGUCACCUCUUUUUCAGAGGUUUACCACCAUACAGUACAAACACAAAUACCCACAUAUUAUCUUUGUGAGCAACUCUAAAGUAUUGAACCGAUAAAACAUCUUGAGAUUAACGAAGUCACCACAGGUGCCUUCGUAGUUGGCGGAAACGUCUCCUCCCAUAAAAUGAACAUCACAAAAAAGCCUGAAAUAUAUCCAAGAAAAUGUGAGCACCAGUGCCAAGUCUAGGAUUUGAAUUUGAACCCCGUGGGCUGGUUUCAUCACAAGAAACCUAACCAUUUAGGCUACGCUCAGCUCACGUUGACCACCAGUUUUUAAUAUGGGUUACAUAUGCUAGGUCUACUACUGGUGCUAAGUUUUUGCCAGAAGACUUAUAUCCCAUAACAUAGCUACAACUCUUUUAAGCGGAAGCUAAAUGUGAGAGGGUUCACCCAGAAACGAACCAAAAAUUUCUUGGUCAAUACAUAUUAUUUAUUAUCAGAUCAAUUACCUAACAAUGUCUGAAAUGUUAACUUUAUGUGCUUACGAAGAUGGAAUAACAGUAACAGAAGAGUCAUAAGGAAGAGAACAAAUUGAUGUGCCCACUUCUACUUUCCAUAGGGUUCACCUCCUUGUUUACGACUAUACAGGUUAUAGAUGCUCUACUUUGGGUCCAAGAUUUUCGCCAUUGCUUUCUCGCACUAUAUCUUGUAGUACCGUCGCCACCUUUUUCUUAUUGCUUCAUCCUUUGUUUACCACCGAGAUACAAAUGAUACUAGAUUUGACAACACAUACCAAGUUUAUAAACGCUACUACUUUGUCCACACAUAACCAAGUUCAUUUUCUUAAGAGAAAAAAAUCCAAGAAAGUAAAAUAAUUCAACUAGUAAUCCAUCGUUUUACAAGUUCAAGGUGCCAGUCACUCUCAACAUCCUUAAAAAUAUUAUCAUCUGUUCACCCUAAGGUUUAAAACUCACAUCGACCUCUAGUCCAGGUAAAAAGACCACAAGAGAAAUUUGGGACCAUUCAUACAUGUACAAAGUAAAAAAAACAUGUACUCCUGUACCACCUAUGAAAUGUUCAUGGAGGCUUCGCUUUUCGGACGUACAACCUUAGAGUGGCGCACAAAAAAAAUCAUUGAGUGUUUCUUGGGUACCCGUCUCCUCGAUGGGUGACAAACAAUAGAAAUGGAUGCCUAAAUGAUGACCGAAAAAGGAAGUAUAAUACCUAAAUAAGGAAGACCGUGGUACGCCACAAGCAACUACGAGCAUUUGCAUCACUAUUCAAAAGCUAAAGGUGAGAGAGUCUAUCCAAAGUCGAAGCCGAAAGGCGCAUGGGUUAUGUGAAAGAGGAAGAACCUUAUGUCUUACUAUUCCCACUUAAUCCUUACACGUAUAAUUUUAUUUUUAGAUAAGAUAAGUAACAAUGUCUUAUGUAUCAACUGCAAUGUCUUUCCAAAGAUGAAAUAGAGGUAACAUAAUAGGAGAAGAGGGCAAACCAAUGUGCCCACUUCCUCUGCGGGAUGUUUGUUUACCGUCAUUUCCGACCAUACGGGUUAUAAAAUACUCUAAGCUUUACUUUCGCUCUAAGUUUAUCACCGCUAGUUUUUGUCACCAUCACAACUCAGUAGCAUUUGCCGCCAACAUUUUUGCAUCGCUUCAUCCAUAGUUUAGCACAUUGAGAUGUGAAUGCUCCUAGACGCAGCGACACGCACCAAAGGCCAUUAGAUUGUGCCCCCUUGUCCACGCAGAAUUGGAUUUUACAAAGUGCUAAAAGCCACAAAAGUAAAAUAUUGAGGAUCGGAGUGACGCACUGGUUGUGACUUUAUUACAAUAUCGUUCACUCUCGACCUCUUAAAAAAUAAUAUCAUAUUUUGACCCAGAUAAAGUUUAAAAUUCUCCAUUGUCCUCCAAUUUAGGUUAAAAAAAGAGAAGUCUGGGGCCAUUAUGAAUUUUCAUAUCUGUUUUCUUUUCAUGGCCUAACCACCUGUCUCUAUCUCUGGACAGUACAUAUGCGGUUUGAACUAAAUUUGUUUAAUUUUGAAAGGACAACAACGUUGGCUCAUACAUACAUGUAUAUAUUAGGUAAUAAGAAGAAAAAAACGGACGUACGUGGAGUAUCUGCUCCCGAGCUCAUUUGAGCUCGGAUAAACAGUAAAAUCGAAAAAAAUUCAAAAAUUGUUUAAAAAAUUCUGAAAUUUUUUUGAGACCAACUUUGACAAAAGUUCUAAGUGCAUGCAAAAAUUUGACAUGAACGAACAUUUCUACAAGGCGUGGCAAAAUAAACAAAAUGGAUGCUCUGAAAAUGCGCAUUUUCAGAGUGUCUAUUUUGUUUAUUUUUCCACGCCUUGUAUAAAUGUUAGUUCAUGCCAAAAAAUUUCAUGCACUUAGAGCUUUUGUCAAAGUUGGUCUCAAAAAACAUUCAGAAUUUUUCGAACAUUUUUCGAAUUUGUUUUGAUUUUUAUGUUCACCCGAGCUCAAAUGAGCUCGGGAUCAGAAAGGUACUUUCGGAAAAAAACAUGUUUCUCUUGCAAAGAAAGUGAAGAAUUUCCGAUUCUCGGUCCAAUCGCCGCCCCGCAACGCCGCCUGUUUCUCCUCCUCAUCGUCCCCGCUGUCAUCGGCCUUGGAUGUUUCUGUUGAAAUUUGGAGGUGGGCCUUAGGCCCAUUAGAGAAUUUCAGAAAAUCUACAAGGGCCCAUGUAGGUGGUGGCAUGUCAAGGUGGUGGGAGUUUAGUCCCACCCCGCUAGUGGAGGAGAGUUUGGACCCCUUUAUAAGGGUCUCUCUUCCACAUGCUAUUGGAGAGUGAGAAGAGAGGGUGCCCUCGCGCACUCCUCCUCCGCCGCCCGCCUCGCCACGACGCGGGAAUGAGCCGAGCCGAGCUCAUACCUACGCGCUUAUUUUUGCCGGUCAGGAACGGAGAAUAUGUACUCGGAUCGUGGCUGUUACCGACUCGGACGUGGGCUUGGCCCACGUCUCUCCACCCAGCCGCCUUUAUAAGCACACGAUCGCCUACCCUAACCGUCGCGAAAAUCAGAUCACAUCUGCCUCACGCCUUCGUUCCUUGACUGCUGCUGCCGCCGGCGACUCCGUCCCGUUUACCGCGUACACGGUCGACGGGAGAGCAGGCCUCCGAAACCUCGCCUCUCCGGUUCCUGUACGGGGAGAGGGGCGAUUAGGUUUUUGGGGAGCGAUCACGCGACUGCUCGCCUCCGUCCGUCUGCUUCGUCUACGUCCGCGUCGCCCUCGUCAUCGCCAUGUCUUCACCAAGCGAAGCUGAUCGUCUCCGCGAGGAAGCCGAGAAGAAGACGGCAGAGGAUACUGCCGCCGCCGCCGCUGCUGCUGCUACGGCCAACUGGCCGAUUGGAGGGUAUGAAUCGUUUAUCCUCUUGUUCGUAUUUAUUCUAGCAGUACUACUUGUUUGCAUAGAUGUAUCCACUAUAUGCGUAGUAUGUGCUAGGUUAGCUCAAGGUCAAUAUGUCAUUAGUCUAGUCAAUGCCAUGCUGGUUAUUAUUUUGUGGAUUAAUCUACUCGGAAAAUUGCCUGUUUACUCAACAGUUUCUUCAUGUUAUUAUUAUUCUAUAUAAUUUUUAUCUUCAUUCUGAACCAAAAAAACAUCUCACAUCGACAUGAACACAAUGAGGCUAUCGCCGUCAUCGGCUUUGGAUGUUUCUUCGUGUUAUUAUUACUAUAUAUGCUUUUUCUUUUCAUUCUGAACUAAAAGCAUUUCACAUUGACAUGAACACAGUGAGGCCAUUCUCAUCCAGCAUUAGGAACGGGAGGGGUGAGGUGAUGCCGGCCGUGUCGGAUCCAAGUCACCCUAACUAAGAUCGGUCUCUCUGUGACCCUACGUUCAUUCCUUAAUUAUUAGCUUCGUUAUGUCAUGCGGCUUGAACCGAAUCUGUUACUUUUUAAAGAGCAGAAACACUUGCUCGUGCAUGUGUGUGGUCAGCAAUAAUAAGAAUAUAAAAAAAAAACAUGUGACUCUUGUGCCACAUAUGAAGUGAUCAUGGAGGUUUUCCUUUCUGAUUUUGCAACCAUAGCGACGCACGCAAGAAUUAUUGAAUGUUGCUUCGGUAUCCUUCUCCCAUGACCGAUGACGAACGAUUGAAAGAGAUGCCUAAAUGAUGAACAGAAAGUGAAGUAUAUGAGUAACUAAAGAAGACCACCGUAUGCCGCAAGCAUUCAUAGAGAAGAAACAAAAAAAAAACUUUCCCGUCCUUUAUUCAAAGCUUUCCCCUCCUCGAGAAGCCGUCUACUAGUAUGUAUAUGUGAUAAAAGCAUCUGCAUCUCUAGGCGUUAAGCAGAAGCUAAAUGUGAGAUGGUCUAUCCGAAACCGAAGACGAGAGGCCCUUGGGGUAUACGAAAGAGGACAUAAGCUUAUAUGUUACAAUUCUCGCUCCGUCCCAACUUCUACACAUUAUUUUUAGAUAAGUUAUCUAACACCGUCUUGCGUCUCAACUUCCAUGUGCUUCCAUGAAUGGAAUAGAAGUGAAAAAAAGAUUCAUAUGGAAGAGACCAAAGUGGUGUGCGCACUUCUUUUUUAGGUGUUUACUGUCAUACAAUACAAACAUAAAUACCCACAUAAACACACGUAUGCUCAUCUUUAUGAGCAACUCUAAGAUAUUGAACCGACGAACAUCUUGAGAUUAACAAAGUCACCGCAGGUAUCUUCGUCGUCGGUGGCAUGCCUUGUUGGUGGGGACGUUUUCUUCCACUAAAUGGACAUCACAAAAAAGCCUGAAAUAUGUCCAAGAAAAUGUGAGCACCAGUGUCGAGUCUGGGAUUUGAAUUUGAACCCCGUGGGCUGGUUUCACCACAAGGAACCUAACCAUUUGGGCUACACUCGGUUCACGUUUACCACCAGAUUUUAAUAUGGGUUACAUAUGCUAGGUCUACUACUAGUGGUAAGUUUUUGCCAGAAGACUUAUAUCUCAUAACAUAGCUACAAGUUUUUAAGCGGAAGCAAAAUGUGAGAGGGUUUACCGAGAAAGAAAGCCAAAAAUUUCAUCGCCAAUAUGUAUUAUUUAUUAUCAGACUAAUUACCUAACAAUGUCUUACAUGUUAACUUUUUAUGCUUACGAAGAUGGAAUAAAAGUAACAUAAGAGUCAUAAGGAAGAGAACAAAUUGAUGUGUCCACUUCUACUUUCCAUGGGGUUCACCUCCUUGUUUAUGACAAUACAGGUUAUAGAUGCUCUACUUUGGGUCCAAGAUUUUUGCCAUUAUUUUUUCGCACUAUAUCUUGUAGUACCGUCGCCACCUUUUUCUUAUUGCUUCAUCCUUUGUUUACCACCGAGAUACAAAUGAUCCUAUAUUUGACAACACAUACCAAGUCUAUAAACGCCACCACUCUGUCCACCCAUAACCAAGUUCAUUUUUUAAGAGCAAAAAUUCCAAGAAAGUAAAAUAAUUCAACCAGUAAUCCAUUGUUUUACAAGUUGAAGGUGCGAGUCACUCUCAACAUCCUUAAGAAUAUUAUCAUCUAUUCACCCUAAAGUUUAAAACUCGACAUCGACCUCUAGUCCAGGUAAAAAGAACAUAAGAGAAAUUUGGGACCAUUCAUACAUGUACAAAGUAAAAAAAACAUGUACUCAUGUACCAUCUAUGAAGUGUUCAUGGAGGCUUCGCUUUUCGGACGCACUACCUUAGAGUGGCGCACACAAAAAUCAUUGAGUGUUUCUUCGGUAUCCAUCUCCUCGGUGGGUGACAAAUGAUGGAAAUGGAUGCCUAAAUGAUGACAAAAAAGGAAGUAUAAUCCGUAAAUAAGGAAGACCGUUGUGCGCCAAAAGCAAGUACGAGCAUCUAUUUUGACCCUGAUAAAGUUCACAAUUCGGCAUCGACCUCCAAUUUACGUAAAAAAAAGAAGUUUAGGGCCAUUAUGAAUUUUCAUAUAUGUUCUCUUUUCGUGGCCUAAUUAACCGUUGGUCUGUAUCUAUGGACAGUACAUAUGCGGUUAAAACUAAAUUUGUUUGAUAUUGAAAGAGCAACAACAUUGGCUCGUACAUACAUGUAUAUAUUAGGCAAUAAGAAAAAAAGCAUGUGACUCUUGUGCCACGUGUUCAAUGAUCAUGAGGGGUUCGCCUUCCGAUAUACAACUUCAUAGCGACGCACUCAAAAGUAAUCGAACGGUGCUCCGAAUCCAUAUCCCAUAAUGGGUGAUGAAUGAUGGAAAUGGAUGCCUAAAUGAUGACCGAGAAAAGGAAGCAUAUGAAUAUCUAAGAAUGACGGCGGUGUGCCGCAAGAAUUCACAGAGAAGGAGCACAAAAACCUUCGCAUCCUGAGAAGUUGUCUACCACUUCCUUCGUACCUAAAUAAUUGUUGUUGGGGAUAACUAUAGGUACAAAGUGAGUAGUAUGUAUAGGUGAUAAGAGCAUUCACAUCACUAGGGGUUAAGCAAAAGCUAAAUGUGCAAUGGUCUAUCCGGAACUGAAACCAAAAGGCCCGUGGGGUAAAGAGAUUAUAAGCUAAUAUGAUACAACUCUCACUUCGCCUACAAAUUAUUUAAUUUACCUAACAAUGUUUUACGUCUCAACUUUCAUGUGCUUCCAUAAAUGGAAUAGAAGUAAAAGAAUUCAUAUGGAAGAGAUUAAGGUGACGUGUCCACUUCUUUUUCAGGGGUUUACCACCAGUUUCUGGUAAUAUGUGUUACAAAUUCUAGGCCUACUAUUGGUGCUAAGUUUUUUUGCGAGAAGGUUUACAUCCCACAAAGUUGCUAAAACCAUCUUCGUAGUGCUUUACCUAUUGUUCAACACCUUGAGAUACAUAUACUCUUAGAUAUGACUAGAUACACCAAGGCUAUAAGCGCAACCUCCUCCAUCCACCCAUAACAAAUCUAGUUUUUUCAAAGGGUGAUAAACCAAGAAAACAAAAAUUCAACUAGUAACCCAUCCAUUGUAUUGCGAAUUUAUUAUGGUGUUGGUUACUCUAUGGCUCCUUAAAAAGAGAUAUGACAUAAUCAUGAAUAAAAUAGGAAGUAUAAUGCAUAACUUAAGAAAAUGGCGGUGCCCAGCAAAUAUUCGUGGGGGAGAAAAACUUCCCUCUUAAUUUUUUUGUCUAGUAUGUGUGAUAAGAGCGUCCGCAUCACUAGAUGUUAAGCGGAGCUAAAUGUGAGCUAAAGCUGAAAACUUCAUCAUGACACAUACUAUUUUAUUACCAUUAGAAAGUUUCUUAAUAAUGUUUUACGUGUCAACUUCUAUUUGCUUUCGAAGAUGGAAUAGAAGUAACAUAAGAGUCAUAAGGAAGAGAACAAAUUGACAUGUCCACUUCUACCGAAUGGUUCACCUCACGUUUCUGAUGAUUUAUGCUCAACCAAGCUUGGGUCCAGGAUUUUCCACCACUAGAUUUUCGCACUAUACCUCGUAGCGUUGUUAUCGUCUUUUUUUUUCUUAUUGCUUUAUCCUCUGUUUGCCCCGAGAAGCACAUUGAUCCUAGCUUCGACAACACAUGACAAGGUUAUAACCGAGCAGACUGUCCACCCAUAACCGAGUUUAUUAUUAUUUUUCAAGAAAAGGAGCAAAAAGCCAAGAAAGCAAAAUAGUUAACCCAGUAAUCCAUUGUGUACAAAUUCAUGGUGCCGGUCACUCCCAAUCUCCUUAGAAAUAUUAUCAUCUUUUCACCCUAAAGUUAAGUUUCGACAUCAGCCUCAAGUCUAGGUAAAGAAAGAGAAAUUUGGGGCCUUAUGCCACCUAUAAAAUGACCGUGGGGGUUUGGAUGUAUGACCUUAGAGUGGCAUAAAGAAAAAAAACAUCAAGUGUUGCUUCAAUACCGUCUCCCACAACGGGUGACGACCGACGGAAAGGGGUGUCUAAAUGAUGAAUGAAAAAGGAAGUAUAAUACAUAAAUAAGAAAGAGGGCGGUGCGCCACAAGCUAAGCAUUUGUGGAGGGGACAAACUUUCUGUCUUCGAGAAGCCAUCUUACACAAGUGAUAAGAGCAUCCACAUUACCAGGUGUUAAGCGAAACAUAAAGGCGAGUGAGUCCAUCCAAUCCUUAGCCCAAGCCGAAAGGCAUGUAGGAUGUAGGAAAAAAGAGGGAAAAAGCUUGUGUGUUACUAUUCUCACUUCAUGCUGACAUGCAUAAUUUUAUUUUUAGAUAGAAACACCUAACAAUGCUUUUGAGUCUCAACCUCCAUGUGCUCCGAAAGAUGGAAUAUAGGUAACAUAAGACGGGAAGAGGCUAAACCAAUGUGCCCACUUCCUCUUCGGGGUGUUCGUUUAUCAUCUAUUUCUGACCAUACGGGUUAUAUAUGCUCUCCAAGACCAACACCAUCAGUUUUUUCCCUCCUCCGUUCUUAGUUCAUUGGUCCUUAGUCUCGCGCUUUGAGAUGCAGACGCUCCUAGACGCGCCAAAUGCCAUAAAACCGCGACCCCUUGUCCGCGAGAGCCGAGAUUUUCAGAAGCACGAAAAGCGAAGAAAGUAAAAUACCAACGAAUAACCCAUUGUUUUAUGCGUUGUUAUUAUUAUUAUUAUUAUAUAAUACGGUGCGGGUCACUCUCGACCACCUUUAAAAGAUUACCAUCUUUUCACCCCUAUUAAAGUUGAAAACCCGACAUCGACCUCCAGCCCAGUCCAAGGUAACAAAAAGAUAGUAUUACAAGAAGAGAGAAAUUCCUGGGGGCCGUUUGGCUUUUAGCCAGCUGCUGCGGCCAGCGGCGUACGGCGACGGACGAGUCGGGAGAAAAGAUGCCAUUCCCGAUGCCAGGCCAGGCCCCCGGGCUGGCCGCAUCCGGGCCGCGGGGCCCGUCGUCAGGAGCGCCGGGAUGGGAUGGCUAGAUUCCCCUCGGAGUCCGCGCGCUGGCUCGGCUCAGAUGGGCCUGUGACGUCAACGCCCGCUGGCUCGUCUGGCCCCUGGCGGGGCCCGGCCCGCUGACGCGAUUCCACUGGUCGACGCCGUCCUUGUUGCGGUUAAACCCCUGUGGUUUGCUGGAAUUGCGUUUGGGACCUCGUACUGGUUAGUGGUAUAGCAGUGUACGACCGAUAGGUGCGGCUCGACUCGAACGUUGUUUGGUUGGUACCACUAGAGCUUAAUGCGUACACGUGUUAAACUUGGUCCGUCCAUGGCAAGCAUUAGUGGGGUACUAGUAUAUAGGCAUUCCUUUGACGAGCAACAUGCUCAAGUUCAUGUCAAAUAAAAAUUAAAAAACGUGCCAAAUAAAAAGGCUCCAAAUUCCUUUAAAAAAAGUUCAUGUCUAACAGAAAAAAACGUUCCAAAGUUGCCAAGUUGGUGCCCUCGCUUAUGACAAGAUUCAACAUUUUGGACAUUUUCGGUCGCUUAUGACAAGAUUAAAUGAAACAUGAUCCAUGCAUGGACGGUACACGAUCCUAAUUGCCUCUUACAAAGCCGGGACAAAAAGCCAAUGACCGUAUCUACAAAAUUUAACAAUUUGGACAUUUUCGGUUGGCACUAGCCUAGACGUGUGUGGUGUCAUCGUCUUUUUGGUGUGUGCGGCAUAUAUCUGUUGUCGGAGAUCUAAUUACCAUUUUCACUUUGGGUUUGGAAGAAUGGCCAGAUUGUCGCACAUACAUAUGCUUUCUACGUAAUUUUCAUGUGCUUCAUCGUUAAAAGAAAGAUACAAAUAUGGCUUUUAGUUAAGGCAGUGGCGUACAUGGAUCUGUAUCAUGCAUGUAUAAGCAAUAGUACAAUCAUUAACAUUGUCAUAAAUACAGUGUACCCUUCAAGCAUCUUGUUGUCCCUACGAUGAAAAGCGACGAGACGAACCGGAGAACCAAAAGUAUACAUACAUUCUUGACAAUGUUUGUCCAACUAAUACUAAUGCACCAACCAUGGAGCCAUACGACUUAUUUGAGUUAGAAACUUGUUAUAACAUCUUUCGAUGCAAAGCCAAUGUCUUGCUUUUUUACUAGUACAUGAGUAUUCAGCGAACGCCAGAUUUUUAGGCAUGACAAAUAGAAAAUGCCAAAUUACGUUUGCCGAGGGUAGCAAGUUUAGUUUGUGAGAAGUUAAAUUCGCCCUAGCUAAAUUUUUUUUGUCAGAAAACUAUCGUGCUCGUCAACUAAGUUUGUCAUCCCCGCGCCACUACAAACCGUCACCAAAAACCUUUUAGCAAUUCUGUUUUACCAAGGACCGAUCUGUUAACACCACAUCUCACUUCCCCGGAAAAAAAUAAAACCACACACAUAUUUCCAAUGAAAAAAAAAGCCAUCCUUCUUCCACGCGCUCACGUCGCCAAUCCUUCUUCCGUAUGCUCGGCAUGUAAACGCAAACCGGAGAGUUUGGGCCAUGGCGACCACGUCAGCGUCAGCAUCUCGCGUCCUCAUUCUACGCCUCCACCGGAAGGACACAACACACAAACGGGUAACAAACAAACCGAAAGAGCCGGCGCGGCACGUCGCGUCGCCAUCAACCGUGCACAAAGCCCAUCUUGCAAGAAAGAAAGCUACAUCCUUUGUAGCCACCCUCCCCUCACCAUUCCGGUCCAUACCUGGUCUUAUUUGGCGGGUUUUUUAAGUUUCAAAAAGGCACCACCAUGCCAUGCCAUGUGUUCCUUCUCCCUUGUGACAAGGAACAGGGUCAUUAACUAGUGUUCGCUCCAAGAGCCGCCACGGUCGAGAAGAGAGAAGAGAGAAGAUCGUGUGGCUCACUGCCAGGGACGUCUAUCCGCAAAAAGAAACAACCUCGAGGUGGUUUGUGAAAAUUCGCCAUCCCCGCAUCAACAGUACAGCGAGUACUAUAAACAGCAGCGGCCGCGUGCCAGCCGAAAGAGGGAGAGAGAGAGAGUGAAGAAGAAAAAUAAAAAAUAAAAAUAAUCUCUGCGUCUGCCUCUCUCGCGCUCGAUUCACACAGAGGCUCCUCCUCCUGGCUGCUUCUUCCUCAAUCCCCAAUCCGCCGGCCGACGAGGAACCUCCCAUGCUCCACGGCCCCAAGGCGGCCCCCCGGAUGACCCGCCGCUCCCCCUGCCGCUCCGCCUCCUUCGCCUGCUCGCUCAACCCCCCCGGAGCCGCCGCCGCCGCCCGCUAGUUGUCGCCCGGGGCGGCGGAAGAUCCGGCCUUGGCACCCCCGCCUCCGGCUUCGUCCCGCGAAGAGCUGAUCGUGGGGUGGAGGUCAGUGCGCCUCGCUUUCUCUGAUUUGUUCACGGGUUCCUCCCUUUCCUUUCUUGCUCGUCGAUGCGGCCGGCUAUCAGUUUCGGGAGGGGGAAUUCGGCCGCGAUCCCGACCGACCUCAUCUCCCCGUUCCGAUUAUCUUUGCCUUGCUCACUGCUUUUUUUUCUUUUGGAUUAUUAUCGAGGCUGCCGUGAUCUUGUUACCUCCAAUUUAUGAGCCGGUGACGACGCUCUAUUUUGUCUGUCCGCGUUCAUCCCUGGAAGAAAUUGGUUGUGUGUAUGUGGUGGCUUGUGCCAACGAAAAGGAAUGCCUUUUUCUUCUCUGUAGAAAUGAUUUGCCCCAUGAACAAAGCUGCAGCCUUGCCUGCUAAGGUUGCUUCAAUCUGGUUCCAUGAUGAUCGUUGAUGCCGCCUUUUUGGGACAAGGCUGCCCGUCCGUCCCCUCGUUUUCUGACUGGACGAGCCUUUGCUUGUUGGAUUAUUAGUACUAUCAGUAGGAGUAUUAUAGUCCUGCAACUUUUCCACCAUUUCUCCUCCUCGUGAGGCAGCCACUGACUCUGCAGGAAUAAUAAUCUCGCAACUUUUCCACCAUUUCUCCUCCUCUUGAGGCAGCCGCGCGCUAACCCUGCAGGAAAACAGGGUAGCUAGACCUAGAAACAGUUAUCGAUAUCUCUUGUUAAUAAUCCAGCUUCUGAAGUAGUGUAUCAUUUUUUUAGCGGACAACAGUAGGUGAGGCCCUAAUUUAACAAUUGAUACCGAGCACGUCAGCAGUUCGUAUCAAAUCAAAGAAAUUAAGGUGGAUAGCACCUGCAGUUAGUUCGCUCCCUGAACGGCCUCUCGAGCAUCAUCGGCAGUCAAGACGCAAUCUGCUAUGAAAAGCGUUUGAUUGGAUUAUGAGACCGUCGCAGCCUUUUUGUUUUGCUAACGUAUCAUGGGAGUAAUCAUAUUGAUAUUGGGUUGUUCAAUCAGUGUGCAACAAAUCAAAAAAGUGCUUUGAUCUUGCAUGUUAUUAGGUUGUUGAUUUGGUUGCUUAGACUGAUGAGAAGUUAUCUUAAUAAUAUCUUAUAAUGUGGUAGUGGUCCCUGGAGGAGGAUUGCCUACUAAUCUGUUAGUUUUCUCCGAUCUGUCCUUGUCAUCACUAGUAAUAGGGAGAGUGCUCCUAACGUGAUGACUCAAAUCACUCAUUUAUGUCAAGUCUGUCACCGGUCCUUGACUUUGUUGCGACCGCGCAAGAUUAGCCGUAUAUCACGCAUUUUCCGUUCUUCUUUUGGUGUUCAUGCCCUUAUGCUAAAAUCACUGAAUCUACUUGGUAGGGGCAGUGCUUUUGACAGAGAAUUUGAGCCCAACGGAUGAACAUGUGCGAGAAAGAUCAAAAUUUCCACUGGGCCUACGACCUUUUCCGUGACCCUUUUGCCGCUCCCAACAGCUACUAUGGACAUCCUAAUGGUUACAGUGACAACAGCUAUUGUGACUACAAUUAUGCUAGAGGUAGUUUUGUGGAAGGUCGUGCAAUUCUUUUGUGCAAAACUCAUGAUGAAAAGAAGGCAGUAUUCCUCAUGUGUAUGUUUUUUGCUUCUGCAGAUGCAUCACAUCCAGAUGAGACAUAUUUGCAUUCUUCCGCACUUACGUGUGAUAUGUACAACCCACAAGUAGGCAUGUACCAUCCUGGUAGUGAAAAUAUCCAUAGUCUGAUUCAGCCUUUACCUUUCGUAUUUUUGCUAUCCCUCUUAAUGUUUUUUGUAUGUUCCAGGAAAUGUUGGUGGGCAGGAGCAUGAGGCAGUCUAUGUAGAUCCAUCUAGUUCCUCUUCAUACCCUGGCAGCGACGACUGUUUUGAAAUGGAGGAAGAAGUAGAGAAGAGAUUUUACCCCAUGGUCCCAGUUCCUGUGAGUCUAUUAAUCCUCAGUAACUGUGUUGUUUAGCAAAGAUUGAUUUGCCUCCUUAGUAUCUAGAGUGAAUGAAGUUUUGCUUCCAAGGAAGCUUGAUAAGUCCCAUGUUUGCUCACUGACUAAAGUAACUACUAAGCAAUGGCCAAAGUAGGUAAGAUAAUUGACAGAAUACCUGUGCACAUGUAGCUAAAAUCUCAAUGGAAAACUGAUUGUGAAUACCACAUGCUUUAAUAGACAACAUGAUACGAAAUUCUUCGAAAAGUCUGUAAAUACAUUAAGUUGAAUUAAAUUCAGAUAUUCUUAACUCUGUGUUAAGCCAUGGCAUGUUUAAUUUUUGGCAAUGUCCAGAUGAAAACUGUGGCUUGGCUACCAGGUUCAGUUUAUAGAGUUUUGCAUACAAAUCUGUGAUUACUGCCUUCCUUAUAGUUUUGUGGGAAUAAAUUAUUACUCGUACAUUCAGUAUGAGAAAAAGGCUGCAAGUUAAAACUGCUAUUUGCACGAUUGAUCAGCAUUAUUUUCUUUUCCAAUACGUUUAUGCAUCUGCUAUUAUCUUCAGUUCCAUUACACUUACAAACUAUGAUUAAACAAUCUGUUUUGCCUUCUCCAGCAUGUCCCUAAAAUUAAUGGUGAAAUUCCAUCACUUGACGAAGCCACCAUGGACCAUGAAAGGCUGUCCGACAGGUCUGUCUUAAAUCUCAAUUCUCAUGGGUUCCUUUUGUUAGUAAAUGCCGUGGAAACAUUGAAUUUUAUGAGGGAUCAGAUGUACUAGAAUAAGUUUGAUAGUGUUUCUUCUCAACUUUCUAAAAUAAAGUGUCCAGGUCUAGUUCAGUAUUUUUUACACGUAUAUUUUUGUAGGUUGAGGCUGUAUGAACUAACUGAGAACAAGGUGAAGGGUGAUGGCAAUUGUCAGGUUUGUACCUAGUGCCAUCCUCACCUGAAUACUUAGUUUUAUUUUGUUCAAAUAUGCAUUGUGGCAGCAGUAGUUGGGUCAGUUCUCUGAGUUAUUCCAUCAUUCAUGACUUACUGUUAGACCAUGUAGUACAUAAGCCACAACCAAUUGAUGCUAAUCUAACGUUCUCAAUUCCACAGUUCCGUGCACUAUCAGAUCAGCUGUACCAAACUCCGGACCACCAUGAGUUUGUGAGGGAGCAGAUAAUUAGCCAGGUAAUCAACACUAGUAAUCUUUCUUUCGCGAAUCGUGAUCCUUAGCUUUGUUCUUUGUUUUCACACUUUCAUCUUUCGUCUGAUAAAUAAUCGGUUUCCAGCUUAAAAGUAACCGGGAAGCCUAUGAUGGAUAUGUCCCCAUGGCAUAUGAUGAGUAUUUGGACAAAGUCUCACGGUAAGCUCAACAGUCAAAAACUGUUCAUGGCUAGUACAAAUUAGUCACAUGUGAAUGCUGCCCCAACUAAUAUCUUGGUGCAUAAACUGACAGAAAUGGUGAAUGGGGUGACCAUGUGACUUUACAGGCUGCUGCUGACAAGGUGCUUAUAUUUGUCUCACUCAUGGGCAUAAACAUAUAUCACAGCUGGCCGGGGCUGUACUUUACUAAAUCUCAUUCUAACGCAAUUUGACAAAUCUGCUGCAGUACGGAGUGAAGAUUUUCGUCAUGACCUCGUUCAAGGAUACGUGCUACAUCGAGAUCCAACCCAAGGUUCAGAAGUCCAACAAAGGUAUGCAGAUGAUUAAUUUUCUUUACAGUUCCAAGUGGAUGGUCUUGAUACUUAACUAUACGCUUGACUGACUGUUUUCCUUCCGAUUGAUCUCAGUGGUGCUAUUGAGCUUUUGGGCGGAGGUUCACUACAACUCGAUAUUUCCACAGAACGGUGAGUAGCAUGCCUGCCUGCCAUUGGCAUACAUGCAAUGCGUGUCCAGUCCCCGUCGCAAACGUAUGCAACCAACAUUCCACACUGACACCGCGAUCUCUGCCUGAUAAUAAAUAUUAAUCGCUGAAACCCUCUCUUUCCUAUGGUUUUGGUAACAGACGCUCCGAGGUUGCACACGGCGAAGAAGAGGAGAUGGUGGCCGUUCUCACAGCACCACCAUUGAUGAGGCUCUCUUCCCUGGCCUCGGCGCGUGUACUCUGACGGCGUUCCGGCGUGCAAAGCACUCUCGUUUCUCCAUCGAGAUGGCCCGGGGGGGUGCACUCCUGGUCCCGGGAGGGGUCGUCGCGGUGUGCGCUCUGACGGGAGGAGAGAAAGAAAAGGCGUUAUGGUUGUCUGAGAUAAUAUUAUAGAUACAUGGAAUGGAAGGAAUAAUGAACAUGCGACCUGUCCCGUAUAUAGUUUUGGGUCGCAUUGCAUGCUCUGUUAUGUAUUUACAUACAAAAUUUUGCCGGAAUGAGGCUACAUACAGUUAAUCAUUCAUUUGGAAUACAAAUGAUAUGGAUGAUGAUACUAAUAAAUAUCUGGGUUGGAGGCA
rnacentral:lncRNA from 1 species